rnacentral:lncRNA from 1 species
GGAGUCUAGGCACCUCCUCUAGCCUGAGAGAUAGCUGGUGCUACUGGAAGCAAGCCUGCAUGGGCGAUACUCUCCAUAAGGCCCACUAGAUGGACCAGAGCAUCAUAAAGUAUCGGGGUAGCGAUGAACCCCUUUGGUACCUGAGCUAGUCCUACUGGAACUGUCUGGGCUGGAAGCUCAUCGUCAAACUCAACCUGAGGCUCUGCCGCUGGUGCUUCUGCUCGAGCUCUGGGCUGAGCUCUACCUCUGCCUCGGGCCCUAGAAUGCCCUCGUCCUGUGCCCCUCGCAGGAGCUGCUACUGGGGGCUCGGUUUGCUGGUCAGUUAAUGAAGCGGUACGUGUUCUCACCAUCUGCGAAAGAACAAAGUGGAAGUUCAAUUAGCAUUGAGAAAUCAAGUCGCACGAUAGAAAAGAAUAGAUGUGAAGUUUUACCUAACUCUGUAGCCUCUUGGAUAAAUACAGACAUCUCUGUACCGAUACCUCAGACUCUACUAAGAUUGUCCGUGAUUUAUGAGACCUAAGAAACCUAGAUCUCUGAUACCAACUUGUCUCGACCCGAAUUUCCCACCCUCGGGAGUCGUGAUGGCGCCUACUCAUAAAAGCUAGGCAAGCCGAGUAUUAUAGAUUCAUUAACCUUUUUACUUAGCCUUUUUAAUAGUUCAAUAUAGCAGGUGAUCAACAGCGGAAUAAUUAUAAUAAACUGAAAUGCGGAAGACGAAAACUAAUAGUUUAAUCAUAUACUAAUGCGGAAUCCAACAUACAAUCCUACCCAAAAUUUGGUGUCACAAUGUUAAGGACUAUCUACAAAUACUACAAAUAGUGGUCUGAAAGAUAAAUACAAAGCUGUCUUUGAAAUACAUAAAAGAAACAGAAUGAUAAGAUAGAAGGAGACGCCAAGGCCUGCGGACGCUAGCAGGACUACCUCGGGUCUCCACCACUGGACUGAAGGCAGCAACCUCACUGUGGUCCAAAAGCUACAGCACCGGGAUUCGCACACAUUGUAGAGUGUAGUAUCAACACAAUAGACCCAUGUGCUGGUAAAUGCCUAGCCUAAACUCGGCGAAGUAGUGACAAGGCUAGGACAAGACUACCAAAUAAACCCGUGCAGUUAAAUCAUAUACAACAGAAAAAUAAAGGCAGAAAUUUACAGUUAAAGAGGGGAGGGGAAAAGAUUCUGCGGGGAAUAUCAGGUAACAACAGAAAUCUAAUAGGGAAAUGUAAAGAAAACCAUAAUUCAAAUUAUCAGCAAGAAACAGGAACUCAAAAUUACGUACAUGGCAUCACUCUUGUGCUUUUACUCUCAUCUUCACCAUAAGAAUCAAUAGAAUUGGCACGACAUCACCCUUCGUGCUUUUACCUCAAAAUAUCGGCACGACAUCACCCUUCAUGGAUUAACACUCUCAAAAUCAUGCACGGCAUCACCCUUCGUACUUUACACUCUUCCUCACCCAAGCAACAAUCACAAAGCAAUUUGGGCAAGGGAAUCAAUAAUAUCACAAUAGAAUCCCGGCAAUGGAACAAUAGCAUAUCAAUAAUAUCCCGGCAAGGGAAUAAUAUGAUGAGCAAUAAUAUCCCAGCAAGGGAGACAAUAUCAAAAGCAAUGACAUCCCGACAAGGGAGACAAUAUCAUAAACCUCUUCUAUUUUCCACAAUUACUUCACAACUCAAUUCUCAACUUGAGCCAAUGCUCUACAACAUUCAAUUACCAAGAAUAAUUUCAUAAACUUUGUUCAACAUUAGAAAUCAUCAUAUUAAGCAAGAACAAUACAAACGGAGUCAUAUUAAUCAUAGUAUAAGACUCAUAGGCAUGCUUGACAUCGACGUAUAGAUACUCGUCACCACACCUAUACGUCGUACUCAACAAUUAACACAUAGCAAAUAAGACACAACUCCUAAUCCCUCAAGCUAAGGUUAUACCAAACACUUACCUCAAUGCCACGAACACAAUUCAAUCCUCAACUACCUCUUUGCCUCUUGUUUCCACCACCAAUUCGCUUGUAUCUAGCCACAAUUCGCUUAACGAUAUCAAUAAAUGCUAAAUGAAUCAAUUCUAAUGUAUGAAAAUAGGUUUUCCAAUGAUUUCCCCUAAAUGUCAAAAAUUGACCCCGGACCCACAUGGUCAAAACCCGAGGUUCGAACCAAAACCUGAUCACCCAUUCACCCACGAACCCAAAUAUAUAAUUUGUUUUGAAAUCGGACCUUAAAUCGAGGUCCAAAUCUCCAAAAAUUAAAAAUCCUAAGUUCUAUCCAAAACACCCAAUUUCCCCAUGAAAACUCUUGAUUUUGAAUUGAAAUCGUGUUAAAAGAUGUUGUAGAUUGAACAAAAUGAGUUAGAAACGACUUACAUUUGAUUUGGAGAAGAACUUUUCUUUAGAAAAUCGCCCAAGAGAGCUUAGGGUUUGAGAGAGUUUGAAAAAUGAAGAAUUUUCGUCUAAGUUAUGAUUUACACAGGUGCAGAUGUCGCAAUUGCGAACCCCUUUGGAACCUGUUGUCUUCGCAAAUGUGAAGAAUCCAUCGCAUUUGCAACCAUAGGAAAUACUGUCACCUCCGCAAUUGCGAAGGAAACAUCGCAUUUGCGAUUGAGAGGGCUUUGUAAUUCCCACCCAGUGUUUGCAUUUGCGAAAAGGGCCUGCCCAAGCUUGGUUCGCAUUUGCGACACUGGGGUCGCAUUUACCAAGCCUGUCCACUUCGCAAUUGCGAAGCCUGAUCUCGCAAUUGCGAGAUCAGAGGCCUGGGUAAAAAUACCAGAUACCAGCAAUGGAUCCUAAGUCCAAUUUCACUCCGUGGCCUAUUCAAACUCACCCGAGCCCUUGGGACUCCAAACAAAACAUGCACGCAAGUCCAAAAAUAUCAUUCGAACUUGCUCGUGCGAUAAAAUCAUCAAAAUAAAAUCAACAACUAUGAAUUAAACCUCAAAUUUAUGAAAUCACUGAAGAACAUUGAAAUUACUAUUUUCUCAAUUAAAGGUCCGAUUUUUACCAAAUUUCACAGAUUCUACUUAAUUAUUAUUUCAAACUUGUACCGGGAUCCGGAACUAAGAUACGAGCCCGAUAACAUCAAGAAAUUACAUAAAUUCACUUAUAAAAGCCUUUAUAUUUUCCAGAAAAUAAUUUUCUUUAAAAAAUUCAUUUCUCGGGCUUGGGACCUCGGAAUUCAAUUCCGGACAUACGCCCAAGUCCCAUAUUUUAUUACGGACCCUACGAGACUGUCAGAUCAUGGGUCCAGGUCCGUUUGCCAAGAAUGUUGACCAAAGUUAACUUUAAGAAAAUUUUAAAAUCCAUCCUUAUUUUUCUUAGUUUUCAUAUAGAAGCUUUCCGGAAACGCGCCCGGACUAUGCAUGCAAAUCGAGGUGAGAUAAAAAGAGGUUUUUAAGGCCUCGGAACAAAGAACUUACUUUCAAAACGAGUGAUGAACUUUUGGGUCAUCACAUUAUCCACCUCUAAAACAACCGUUCGUCCUCGAACGGACAUAAGAAAAGUACCUGAGUCUGAGAAAAGAUGGGGAUAUCAGCUCCGCAUAUCAGACUUAGACUCCCAGGUCGCUGCCUCAACAGGCUGACCUCGCCACAAAACACGAAUAGAUGGAAAACUCUUCGAUCUCAGCAGACGAACCUGCUGGUCUAGGAUAGCUACUGGCUCCUCCUCAUAGGACAAGUCCUUGUCCAACUGGACAAAGCUGAAGUCUAACACGUGGGAUGGAUCGCCGUGAUACUUCUAAAGCAUGGACACAUAAAACAUUAGAUGCACGGCUGAUAAACUCGGUAGCAAUGCAAGUCUGUAAGCCAUCUCUCCCACUCGAUCAAGAAUCUCAAACGGGCCAAUGAAUCUAUGGCUAAGCUUGCCCCUCUUCCCAAAUCUCAUCACGCCCUUCAUAGACGACACUCGAAGCAACACCCACUCGCCGAUAAUGAGUGCCACAUCACGAACCUUAUGGUCGGCACAACUCUUUUUGCCUGGACUGAGUUGUACGAAGCCUAUCCUGAAUGAUCUUAACCUUGUCCAAGGCAUCCUGUACUAGAUUCGUACCCAACAAUCGAGCCUCUCCUAGCUCAAACCAUCAGACCGGUGACCGACACCGCCUACCAUAUAAAGCCUCAAAAGNNNNNNNNNNNNNNNNNNNNNGGUUGACUAAUUGGUUCAAAAGGCACUAGGGAAGUGACUUUCUCCUAGGUGAAUACUUGUCAGGUUCUCAAAUCUAAGGCAAGGUUGUCAUGUUGGGGAUUACGAUAUAACCAAUGCACAAAAUUUCUCACUCUAUACCUCUCGGUAGUUUGAGUGAUUUUGCCCUAAUUGACUUUCUCAAGACCAAUUGGAUAUGAUAAUUGGUGCAAGCAAUUUAGGUUCAAAUCGGGUAUUACUAUCUUUAGGUUUAACCCUUUAAUUGGGGCUAUCAAUAUUUUGAAUAUGCCCCAAUUCCUUGUUAGACUAAUGUUCCUAGACUCAAGCUCUCUUUCUCAAGAAGAUCCCAAGUCAAAAAGGCACAAAUUAGUGUUUGCAACCACUAAUUCAACAUGGAAAACAUAAAUUAGUCCAAAUAUCAAACACCUAUAGACAUUCAAGCCAUAAAACUCAAGACCCAUCAAAUACCCACACCAGAGUUGAUCCACAACCCUACCUAAUGGGUCUAGCUUAACUCAUAAUAAUAGAAGAAAACUGAUAAAUAGAUAAAGAAAAACCUAUGAGAUUUAAUUACAAGCUAAUAAUUGAAGAUUAAAUGAUAAAACCACUAUAGAAUUACUCAAAAUGGUUAAGAACAGCCAUUCACAUGCUCAUCCCAAAGUCAGAUUACAAAAGAUGACUUACAAAUGGGAAAAAAAGUAUUUAUACUAGGCCGAAUUUUCUGGACAAAAAUACCCCUGCGGGGGUACCGCGGACCGCAAGAAAUCGAGUGCGGCCGCGAUGAGGCUUCUUGGCUUUAGAUUUUUGCUCUCUGAACUUGGCCACUGCGGGCCGCAUAAAAUGCACAGCGGUCGUGGUGGCUUCUACUACGGUCCGCACAAAGAGGACCGCGGACCGCAUUGGCGUUAACCUCAAAAUUCCCAACUCUCUGAACCUCAUCAUUGCAGACCGCACAAGCUCGAUUGCGGACGCGGUGAGGCCAAUGCGGUCUACACAAAAUGCUUUGUGGCCGCAUUGCUUGAGUUUCUAAAAUAAGCACCUCGUUGAAUCUUCUCACUGCGGAUCACACUAAAUGGAAUGUGGCUGCAGUGGAUCUAUUGCACUCUGCUUGGACUUGUUCUUGGUAGUUGUGCAUGUUUCACUCUUUCUUGAGCUAGUUUUGACUAAUUGUCACCUUUUUUACCAAACCCUACAAACAAGUACAACAUGUAAGCCUUUGAGACUAUUUUGUAGACAUUUUUAAUUAAAACUCUAGUAAGAAAGAGUGUAAAAUGAAUCAUAAACCCUAGUUAUCAACUCCCCCAAACUUAAGCUUUUGCUUGUCCUCAAGUAAACAAAAUAAGACCCACCUCCUUAAGAGUAAAUCCAAGAAAAUUCAACUGACCUAAAGUGACCUCAUCUAGCAUCAAUUUGGACUAACAAUUGCCCUCAAUUCAAAUGAAUCAUUAACAACAUUCGACCUUCUAAACAACAUGGAUUUAGUGCGACACAAAAGCAUCAAGAGUUGACUCAACCCAUCAAAGAAACUCUUUCAACUACUUUGGUCAUUGUGGAACCCAAACUCACACAUCCUCAACUCUCCCUAAGCAAACCUCACUUUUAGAUUGUAGCACUCAGAACGAGGAUAGUGGAAACACACUCAUCUCUCUCAAAGAAAGGUUAAGCUUGCCCCUUAUGUGAGUCACCACUAAUGAAAGCUUCAUUCAACUCAAGAUUAUAUAAGGCUUUUGUGGAGAAUUAGCAAAGGCUUUUGAUUCAGGGUAGGAAAUAUUUGGUCUAAGUAGGUUCCAUCUUCCCUUUAACAUUUCAUUUGCUUCAUUUUGGCACACAUUCUCUUGACUUUUUAAGUCAUUUGCUUCUUUCUUAGGGGUUAGAGAGACACACUGUCACUCUUUCUUGUUCUUUUCAAAUCUUUUUCUCCUUUCUAAACAUUCCACACCUUUCAUCUCUUUUCUUUUAUUGAAUCCCUUCAUUUCUUCUAAUUGUUCAUUCUGUUUGACUUUUUGAUUUUCUUUCUUUUUCAUUGCCUUUCCUUUUCUUCAUUUUUGUACCUUAUACCACUUUGUUGCAUUCCUCGUCUCUCCCCCAAACUUAUAUUUUUGCCUUGUGCUAAGGAAAGAUAGGGUGCCAAGAGAGGGUCUUUUUAGAACGGGUAAAGGCUUGUACCAUGGUUUUUGCAAGAAAAAGGUCUAUGGCUCAAAAGAGUUGACUAGGGAUAUUAUCAUUGGUAGGCUAUGGAGGUGUUCAAGACAUCAUUCGGAUCAAGGAGAGCCUAUAAUCACAUCUCAAGUCAAAUUACACUUAGAAUUUCACCUAGACAAAUAUUCAGGGCAAGUUCUAGACUAAUGGCUUGGAACUUGGACUUGCAAUUCAAAUUCUCACCACACAAGCUAUAGGAUUGCUAAAGAGACAAAGUCAGGGGCCCACAACAACCUUAGCUAAUAUUUGAGCAACACAAUGGUCCCGAAAAACCACUUGAUGAUUAUCGGUCAACACAAGAGUCUCAAGGUCACAACUUUCACCAUCCUAUACACAACAAUUUGUUUUUGACCAUAGGAUCAAAGGCAAAUGUAUUAGGCCCAAGUGAAGGUUUGCCUGAGGCACCAUUACUCACUAGCUACUAUUUACACAAAAAGCAAAAAAGAAAACAGACUCAAACCCUUAAGANNNNNNNNNNNNNNNNNNNNNNNNNNNNNNNNNNNNNNNNNNNNNNNNNNNNNNNNNNNNNNNNNNNNNNNNNNNNNNNNNNNNNNNNNNNNNNNNNNNNNNNNNNNNNNNNNNNNNNNNNNNNNNNNNNNNNNNNNNNNNNNNNNNNNNNNNNNNNNNNNNNNNNNNNNNNNNNNNNNNNNNNNNNNNNNNNNNNNNNNNNNNNNNNNNNNNNNNNNNNNNNNNNNNNNNNNNNNNNNNNNNNNNNNNNNNNNNNNNNNNNNNNNNNNNNNNNNNNNNNNNNNNNNNNNNNNNNNNNNNNNNNNNNNNNNNNNNNNNNNNNNNNNNNNNNNNNNNNNNNNNNNNNNNNNNNNNNNNNNNNNNNNNNNNNNNNNNNNNNNNNNNNNNNNNNNNNNNNNNNNNNNNNNNNNNNNNNNNNNNNNNNNNNNNNNNNNNNNNNNNNNNNNNNNNNNNNNNNNNNNNNNNNNNNNNNNNNNNNNNNNNNNNNNNNNNNNNNNNNNNNNNNNNNNNNNNNNNNNNNNNNNNNNNNNNNNNNNNNNNNNNNNNNNNNNNNNNNNNNNNNNNNNNNNNNNNNNNNNNNNNNNNNNNNNNNNNNNNNNNNNNNNNNNNNNNNNNNNNNNNNNNNNNNNNNNNNNNNNNNNNNNNNNNNNNNNNNNNNNNNNNNNNNNNNNNNNNNNNNNNNNNNNNNNNNNNNNNNNNNNNNNNNNNNNNNNNNNNNNNNNNNNNNNNNNNNNNNNNNNNNNNNNNNNNNNNNNNNNNNNNNNNNNNNNNNNNNNNNNNNNNNNNNNNNNNNNNNNNNNNNNNNNNNNNNNNNNNNNNNNNNNNNNNNNNNNNNNNNNNNNNNNNNNNNNNNNNNNNNNNNNNNNNNNNNNNNNNNNNNNNNNNNNNNNNNNNNNNNNNNNNNNNNNNNNNNNNNNNNNNNNNNNNNNNNNNNNNNNNNNNNNNNNNNNNNNNNNNNNNNNNNNNNNNNNNNNNNNNNNNNNNNNNNNNNNNNNNNNNNNNNNNNNNNNNNNNNNNNNNNNNNNNNNNNNNNNNNNNNNNNNNNNNNNNNNNNNNNNNNNNNNNNNNNNNNNNNNNNNNNNNNNNNNNNNNNNNNNNNNNNNNNNNNNNNUAUGCGGAAAGUAAAAUAAAUAUAUACAAGAGGGGAUUUAGUCGAAUAUACAUAACGAAGAAUAAAUAUAUACAUUAGAACGUAACUUUAUAUACAGACCAAAAGUAAAAAGUAUGAAAAGUGCAAUAAAAUGAUAAAAUUAUGUACAUACCAAAAGUAAAAAAGAAAUCAUAAAAAGAGAGUAAUGUCAUAAUACAACCCAAAUCAUCCAAUAGGGCUACCCCUUCAAAUGAAAGCUAGCAUUGUCCUCAAUGAUAACUAACCAAAAUAAGCACAAGAAAAGAUAGAGAGGAAAAAGAGACUCCCUAUUGGCCCUCCGUCUGCAUAGGAUCAUGAGUCUGGGUCCCUGGGUCCUCGGACUGCUCGGAAACUUGUGACUGGCUUCCUGUAACCUGUGUCUCCACUGGGACCUGGGCCUGUACUGAGUCUUGGGCCUGUACUGGAAUCUGGGGCUGGCUAGAGGAACCUCCCUGCGGGUCCUCCAACUCUAUAAUAGCAUCAUCAGUAAGAGGAAUCACCCUCUUCCUCUUUGUUGGCCUCUCUAUCUCCUACUCCGGCUGGGCUGCUGGGGCUGGAUCAUGCAAUAAAAGAUCCAGAGGCAAGUGAUCAGCCUUCAACUUCUCUACCUCCACCCUCAACUUCUUCACCGACUCCUUGGAAGCACGAGUCUUACUCAUUUUCUUUGUCUCCUUAGCAAGCUCCUUCAAUGCCUUUCCAUGAGAAUCAACAGCAUCUAUGAUCAAUUUCUGGUUCUCUAGGAGCUUCUUCUGGUUGUCCAGAAGCUCCUUGAGAGUGUCCUCCACUGACUGUGGGACAUGUGGAUGAGGAGGUACAGACUGGGAUGCCACCGAAGUAGAUAGUACAGACAGCUUAGAAGUGGCUGUUUACAUCUAGUUGUUGAUACUAUCAAGGGUCUGGCUCAAGCGAUGGGCAGUCAAAGGAUACGCUACAGAUGAGGGGAUAUCUGGAGCUGUAGAAGUGGAGGGUCCUGGGGCCAUGUCUGGUGUGGCUGAAGGAGGCUGAGUAGGAGCCACUGCUACUACUGGCUCUUCAGACUGGCCAGUAGAAGUAGUGGCUUUGCCCUUAGGGUCCUUGGGGUUGUUAGGACCCUUGGUGCUGUACCAGGAGAAAGGUGCCUUAGCUUUCACUUUCACAUCAAAUCUUCUCUUCUCCAUAUAUAGAUCCUCAAAAUACAUGGUCAGGAAAUUUGGGAAAGGGUAGGAUCUAUCACCUUCAUUCACCACCUGUCUAAUCACCCUAGACAUCACAUUCCCGAUGUUGAUCGGGUACCCCGCCAUGAUAGAUGCCACCAAUAUAGCCCGGGAGAUAGGAAGAGAGUUGUCGUGAGUGGUGGGGUGUAGCCUGCUACAAACAAAUGUCUCCCACCCUUUUGCUUCAAAGUUCAAGGUUAUCCUCAGAAUAUUUACCCCCGUUGUCAACCAUGCUGGGGUGGUACCUUGGAUUGCCAAGUACUCAGCUAACCACGGACGGGCAUCCUCCCCCAAAGCUACCUUGUCUAAGUACAAGGUCUCAUCCUCCUCCAGGAAGCCCAGGUAGUCAUUUAUUGUUUUUCCAUCAAACUUUAUUUUCAGAUUUCGCACCUUAGUAACUGUGGUGCCCUUUUUGAAUUGGGCAACAUUGGUGUAGAACUCCUUGACUAAGUGCUCAUUGGCAUCCUCCACAUGGUCUAUGAAAUAGUCCCAGCCUGCUCUCUCUCUCUCUGAACUGCCUCAGCACAUUGGGGUUAUGAGGCAAAAGGUCUCUUGUGAUGAAUUUCCGCUCAAGUAUGAACUUCCUCUCAGGCCACCAUUAUCUGAACUUGUGGUAGGCCGCUUCACUCACAAAUCUAUCUUGCCAUGCUUUCGGGUUCUUGGUUCUCUCCACCCCUCCUACUUGGGGCUCACCCCCUCCUUAUUCUUCUAUGGGAUCCUCACCAGAUAGUGAAGCUGUAGGUGAGGUGGAAUAGGCAUUGCCACUGCCCGCCGUUGAGACCUCAGAUGACUCGAAAGAGAUUUGCACUGACGUUUGGGCAGUAGGGGUGCCCGGAGGCGUAUCUCUCAAUCUCUUCCUCUCUGGCCAGUCAGGAACAUACUCUGGCACAGAGUCUGAGUCAGAUGCCUCCUGGGAGGGUACAUACUCACUUCCCGAAUAGGAAACAGCUCUAUCAAUAGCCUUUAUUGUCUUCCUGGUAUCUUUGAUAGCUUGCCGGACUUGGGGAGUCAAUCUGAUCAUGCCCUUUUCUCUACCCCGGGAGGUGUUGAUACCCAAUUUUUCUCUAUAUAUUUUCAAUAUGCAAACUACUUUCAAAAUAGCAUAUAUAAGCAUGUCCAAGUGUUUUAUUAUUUUUCCAUGAUUUUUAAGGUUUUUAAAUUGAUUUAUUUCCCUUUUUAUCCAUAAAAUCCCCAAUAAUUAUUUCCAAAAUUAUUAUUUUGAUAAUUCAUCUAUCGGAUUUUUAUAUUUAUGCCAAAAUAUGAUUAAAGUAAUUUUUUACAUACUUUUACAAUUUUAUUUAUUAUUUUUAAAGCUAAAUUGCACAUAAUUGCAAUAUUUGCCCUUUUAAGGUUUAAUUAGGUUUUUUAUUCAUAAAAUUGGGUCCAGUAUUUUUAAAUUAUUAAUUAUGUGUUAUAAAUCAUUUUAGCCCUUUCAACGUAGUUUUGGAAACUAUUUACUAUUUUUAUAAAUUAAAAAGGAAAAACUGGCUAUUUAAAUAACAGUCCCUUUUGUAUUUCAAUUCUAGCCCAAAUUGGACCCCAAUUCCCCCAGCCCAAUUUUAUUUUUAACCCUACCCAAACCCAGAUCCCUACCUACUCCUUUUAAUCUAGGUCGUUGAUCAUUCAGAUCAACGACUACCAUUCCACCUUACCCUUUUUAACCCAAACGACCACUCUAACCUAAAUCAUUCUCACCACCCCGCCGCCCUUGAAUCCCUUUCCUCUCUAAUUCUCUCUGCAACUUCACUCAAAUCCUAGCCGCUGCCACCCAAAUCUACCCUAAUGCCCUUCAACCCCCACCCAAUCCAUAGACUUUCAUGGCUGUUUGAGACGUGUACUUGUCUCCUACGUCCCCUGGUGGCCCGCUUAUGUGAUUUCAUGGACAGAUCUCUUCUCCAGUCCUUGCUCAAACUUCUAUCCAUGGCCUUUCUCCGGCCAUCCAUGGCCGUUCAAGUCAGAUCCAUGGUUUUUCCGGCUAGAUCAGUAACUUUUCGAAGUCUUUCUCAUUUUUCUAGGUUCUCCAAAACCCUAGCUUUAAAGGCUUUCCGAUUUUCUUUCAGAUCUGUCUUAGACCUGUGUAUGUUAUGAACCUCUUAAGUUUUUUCCUUAAAGGUUUUCCUAUUUUUCAAAACAACUCUUCGUCUUCAACGAUUAGGGUUUUCUUGACCUCUUUUAAAAGAUCUCUUCUCCGAUUUUCAGUGUUAUUUUAUAAUUUUACUAUGUUUAAAUGAUUUGCUUAUGUUUUUCUUCUACCUGGUUCAACAUGUUGAAAAUCCUAAAUAUCUUUGGUCUUAUUCGGGGUCCUGGAACUGUCUUUGCUUAUUUUAUACUUGUUCUGACUGAGUUCUUUGAGUUUAAAUCCUUUUCUUUGUUUAACUUGACUGAUUCUGAGUUUCUACCUUUCAAACUCAGCUUUGUUAAAACCCUAGUUUCUUGAAAUUUUCCUCACUUGUUACUGAGAAUUUUUAAAAGAUCUCUUUUACCUGUUGCUAUGUGUUAGAUUGUUUCCUCCAUUUUUUGGUUCUACGUGACUACUUGACUUUGUUGACUACUAUGCUUCGAGUAGGUUCUUUUUCUACUAAGCCCUAGCCUACUUCUAGUUGCUUCUUUUGUCAAUAUGGUUGACCUUGCAUGUCUGUACUCUUGUUCAUUCUUCUCUAUGUAUAUGGCGAAGUGCAGAAUCAUGAUUCUUUCUUGAUUGAUCUUGAUUUCCUCAAAACAACAGACUGCAGUCCGCACAAAAUGCAGUGCAGCCGCAAAGGGACCACCGCGGACCGCACAAAAUAGCACCGCAGUCCGCAUUGAGAUGGGGGUCAAACUACCCACUCUCUAAUAAAAGCCACCGCGAACCGCACAAAAUGAUAUUGCGGUCCGCAUUAAGGCACCACAGACCGCACAAAAUCCAUUGCGACCGCGGUCCUCAACCUUCAACCUUUCUGAAGUUAUACCAUCGCGGUCCGCACAAAAUGGUAUUGCGGAGAAGCACCACGGACCGCGCAAAAUACCAUUGCGGACCGCGGUAAGCCAAAAACAGUAAUACCUACCUAGGGUUUCAAAUUUUGCUCAAUUUAAGCCUAAAAUCAUAUAUUAUUAAUUCCCUAGGUGUUUAAUCAUUAGUUGUCAUUAAUUAACCCUAAUCCCAACAUGAUUAAACAAACCUACGAUACAGAAUUGAAAGAAAAUGGGAAGAAAAAGAAGAGAAACUAGCUAAUUAAAAGAAAAUAACAAAGUUAAAAACUAAGAAAAAAAAGAAAAAAAAAUUAAGAUUACCAGUUAGUGAGAUGCAACACAGAUGAUUGACAGUGAGUGAAUGAAAUCAUGUAGUUAGAGCUUGUGUGAAUAGUAUUUUUUCACUAUUUGAGAGCAAAGGAUCGAAAAGUUUAAAAUGAGGGCAUGAGGUCCUAUUUAUAGAAAAGGACCCUGGGACCCAUUGUACCUACCCACCACAGAUCGCACAAAAUGGCACCGCGGUCCGCAGUACUCAGAAUCAAGAGACACUGGGAGAUGUCCACUGCGGACCGCAAGAAAUGCAAUGCGGCUGCAGUGGUCCACCGCGGACCGCACAAAAUGCAUUGCGGACGCGGUGGCAAAAUUCAGAGACUCCUCAUUUUUGCCUAAUUAACUCUGCGGUCCGCAUUGAAUUGUUGCCCCGCACUAAGGCCAUUGCGGCCGCACAAAAUGCAAUGCGGCCGUAGUGCAAACUUCAGAGAGUGUGCAUUUUUCCCAACUUGGUUCUGCAUUGCAUCAAAAAAAUCCUAUAAUAUCUCAUAACUAGUUAGUCCAAAAGCAAAUCCUAUACUACAAAGAAAAUCAAAGAAAAACAAAAAGAAAGACACAUGGAUUGCCUCCCAAGAAGCGCCUGAUUUAACAUCGCGGCACGACGCAAGUUACCAUCAAAUCAUUUUAGAUGGAGCAGUGCCACCAGUGGCUGUCAUCAAUCUUGCCCAGGUAGUGCUUGACCCUGUGCCCAUUAACUCUGAAAACCUCCCCUUUUUUGUUCUUCAAGUCAAGUGCACCAAACGGAGUCACAAACACCACUUCAAAAGGUCUACUCCAUUUUGACUUAAGCUUUCCCGGAAACAGACGUAACAGAGAAUUGAACAAGAGAACUAAAUCACCCACUUUGAACUCCUUGCCACGAGCAUAUUUAUCAUGAAGGUACUUUAUCUUGUCCUUGUACAAGGAUGAACUAGAGUAGGCAUGAAAUCGGAAUUCAUCAAGUUCAUUAAGCUGCUCCACACGAAGAUUUGCUGCCACAUCCCAUUCAAGAUUCAGCUUCCUCAAAGCCCACACGGCCUUGUGCUCUAACUCAACCGGUAGAUGGCAAGCUUUACCAAACACCAACCGAUACGGAGACAUACCAAUCGAAGUCUUGUAAGCAGUCCUAUAAGCCCAUAGAGCAUCAUCCAACUUCUUUGCCCAAUCGGUCCUAUUUGCAUUGACCGUCUUUGACAAUAUACUCUUGAUUUCCCUGUUUGAGACUUCAACUUGGCCACUCGCCUGAUGAUGAUAAGAAGUAGACACUUUGUGAUUGACACCAUACUUUGCAAGCAAAGUGUCAAAAGUUCUAUUACAAAAAUGAGACCCCCAUCACUUAUGAUUGCACGAGGAGUGCCAAACCUUGUAAAAAUGCUUUUCUUGAGAAACGCAACAAUACUCUGGGCCUCAUUGUUGGGUAAAGCCACGACUUUAACCCACUUUGAAACAUAGUCAACCGCCACAAGAAUGUAUGUGUUCCCACACGAGCUAACAAAUGGGCCCAUAAAAUCAAUGCCCCAUAUAUCAAAAAUAUCAACUUCAAGAAUGGUAAUGAGAGGCAUCUCAUCUUUCUUCGAAAUUCCAUCCGCUCUUUGACAUUCGUCGCAUCUUUUCACAAGUUCACUUGCAUCUUUGUACAAAGUUGGCCAAUAAAACCCGCAACUAAGAACUUUUGAAGUCGUCCUCGCCCCUCCAUGAUGACCACCAUAGGGAGAGGAAUGACAAGCCUCUAAGAUACUCAAUUGCUCCUCCUACAGGACACACCUUCGGAUCACACCAUCCGUGCAAAUUUUGAACAAGUACGGCCCAUCCCAAUAGAAAUCCAAACUAUCCCGUUUGAGCUUCUUCCUUUGGUUAGAAGAGAGCUCACACGGGAUUAUACCAGUCACAAGAAAAUUAGCAACGUCCGCAAACCAUGGCAUACCAUUCACCAACACCAAUUGCUCAUCGGGAAAUGAAUCAUUGAUCUCUAGGCCAUCACGAGGCCUCCCCUCCUCCUCCAAGCGGGACAAGUGGUCCGCCACUUGGUUUUCACUACCUUUUCGGUCCAUAAUCUCCAAAUCAAACUCUUGAAGUAACAAGACCCAUCGCAUCAUUCUAGCUUUGGAAUCCUUCUUUGUCAUCAAGUACCGGAGUGCAGCAUGAUCGAUGUGAACUAUGACCUUGGCACCCAUGAGAUACGGCCAAAAUUUCUCCAUUGCGAACACAAUAGCCAAAAGCUCUUUCUCAGUCACCAUGUAGUUAACUUGAGUAUCAUUCAUUGUCUUGCUCGCAUAAUACACCGGAUGAAAUAUUUUAUUCACUCUUUGACCUAAAACCGCCGCAACCGCAACAUCGCUCGCAUCACACAUGAGCUCAAAAGGCAAGCUCCAAUUGGGUGCGGUGAUAAUAGGAGUGGUGGUCAACUUGUGCUUGAGAAGUUCAAAGGCUUGCAUACAUCUCUAAUCAAACACGAACUUGGCAUCUUUUUCUAAUAACUUGCAUAAGGGAUUCAUUACCUUCGAAAAGUCUUUGAUAAAUCUCUGGUAGAACCUCGCAUGCCUAAGAAAACUUCUAACUCCCUUGACAGAGGUAGGGGGAGGGAGCCUUGAAAUCACAUCAAUUUUUGCUUUGUCCACCUCUAUACCAUGCUUUGAAAUUUUAUGCCCAAGAACUAUGCCCCUCCUCAACCAUGAAGUGGCAUUUCUCCCAAUUAAGAACAAGAUUGGUUUCUUCACAACGGGCUAACACUCUAUCAAGAUUUUUCAAACAUUCAUCAAACGAAUCACCUACAAUACUAAAGUCAUCCAUGAACAUCUCCAAAAUAUCUUCCACCAUAUCGGUGAAAAUGGCCAUCAUACACCACUGGAAUGUAGCCGAUGCAUUACACAACCCAAAAGGCAUCCUAGAAAAGGAAAAAAUGUCAUAUGGACAAGUGAAUGUGGUCUUCUCCUGAUCUUUCGGAGCAAUCAAGAUUUGGUUGUACCCAGAAUACCCAUCCAAGAAAUAGUAGAAGGCACGCCCCGCAAGUCGAUCUAACAUCUGAUCAAGAAAAGGCAAUGGAAAGUGAUCCUUGCGGGUCACUUUAUUCAACUUGCGAUAGUCCAUGCAUACCCUCCACCCGAUGACAGUCCUCAUUGGAAUCAACUCGUUCUGCAAAUUUGUAACCACGAUCAUACCACCCUUCUUCGGCACACAUUGCACCUGCGAAGUCCAAGUGCUAUCAGAGAUGGGGUACACAACCCCGGUAUCCAACCACUUGAUCAACUCCUUUUUCACAACUUCUUGCAUUGCCUCGUUCAACCUCCUUUGAUGUUCCAAGGAGUGAUUUGCAUCAUCUUCCAGAAUAAUCUUGUGCAUAUAGAAGGUGGGGCUUAUCCCCCGAAUAUCUGCUAAGGUCCAUCCAAUUGCCUUCUUCCGCUUUUGGAGCACCGCCAAUGUUGCAUCAACCUGCAUAUUAGUAAGACAAAAGGAAAGAAUAACUGGCAAAGUUGAACUAGGGCCUAAGAACUUAUACUUGAGGUGUGGAGGCAACGAUUUCAACUCCAACAUCGAAGGUUCCUCGAUUGAAGGUUUUAUUCGUGGAGUCUUCCUAUUUUCAAGAUCCAAGGAGAGUUUCUUAGACUCAUAAGAGUAAGAGCCCAUUCCAUGUAAAGCAUUCACACACUCUACUCGGCCUUCAUCGUCAUUCACAUCAAGAUUCAACAAUACUGCCUCUAGAGAGUCCUCUACAUUGAUCAUUGCACUAGUAUCAUCAACUAUCACUGCCAUGACAAGGUCCACAAAGGAGCACACUUCAGAAUUGUUGGGCUGCUUCAUUGAUUUGCACACGUGAAAGACCACCUUCUCAUUACCCACUCGGAAGGUGAGUUCCCCUGCUUACACAUCAACUAAGGUCUUCCCAGUAGCAAGGAAAGGUCUUCCCAAUAUGAUUGAAACCUCAUAAUCUACCUCACAAUCCAAGAUCACAAAAUCAGCUGGCAAGAUAAAUUUGUCCACCCGGACAAAGACAUCAUCAAUAAUACCCAAUGGUCUCUUCAUCGUUCUAUCCGUCAUUUGCAAUAUCAUAGAAGUCGGUCUCGGUUGCCCAAUACCCAAAGUCUUGAAAACUGAGUAGGGCAUCAAGUUAAUACUUUCCCCCAAAUCACAUAGAGCUUUUGCAAAGUCUGCACUACCAAUGGUGCAAGGAAUGGUGAAAGCNNNNNNNNNNNNNNNNNNNNNNNNNNNNNNNNNNNNNNNNNNNNNNNNNNNNNNNNNNNNNNNNNNNNNNNNNNNNNNNNNNNNNNNNNNNNNNNNNNNNNNNNNNNNNNNNNNNNNNNNNNNNNNNNNNNNNNNNNNNNNNNNNNNNNNNNNNNNNNNNNNNNNNNNNNNNNNNNNNNNNNNNNNNNNNNNNNNNNNNNNNNNNNNNNNNNNNNNNNNNNNNNNNNNNNNNNNNNNNNNNNNNNNNNNNNNNNNNNNNNNNNNNNNNNNNNNNNNNNNNNNNNNNNNNNNNNNNNNNNNNNNNNNNNNNNNNNNNNNNNNNNNNNNNNNNNNNNNNNNNNNNNNNNNNNNNNNNNNNNNNNNNNNNNNNNNNNNNNNNNNNNNNNNNNNNNNNNNNNNNNNNNNNNNNNNNNNNNNNNNNNNNNNNNNNNNNNNNNNNNNNNNNNNNNNNNNNNNNNNNNNNNNNNNNNNNNNNNNNNNNNNNNNNNNNNNNNNNNNNNNNNNNNNNNNNNNNNNNNNNNNNNNNNNNNNNNNNNNNNNNNNNNNNNNAGUCCGCAUCUUUUUUAUUCAUCUGUUCAAACAUCAUUGCAAUUCUCCCCAUUUCAUUGUUGGAAGAACUAGGACCUUGGGAUGGAAAUUCGGGUGGAUUGUUCGGUUGUUGAUACAUCGGGGGCAUUUGAAAGCCUUGCCCCCGAUUUCCUUGAUUGCCAUUGUUCCAACUACCCUGAUUGUUGUUACCACCACAGUUGUUGUUGUUGUCAUUCCAAUUACCCUGAUUGUUUUGAUUAUUGUUCUGAUUGCCCCGAUUGGAAUUUUGGUUGUUGUUCCCCUAAUUACUAUUCCCUUGUUGUUUUUGUUGAUUGCCCCAAUUGCCUUGGGGUCUCCAUUGUUGUUGGUUAGAAGAAUUGCCCCUUUGGCCCUAAUAAUUGUUCAGAUAUUACACUUCUUCAUUCUGCCCAUCAUAACCGUCACCUUGGAAUCUACCACAAUCAUUGUCAAAUUGAUCCGAACACCCUUGGUUUUGUUGACCUCUUUGUCUUCUUUUGUUCACUAGAAUGUUGACACCCUCCAUAGCAUUUACAUGGCGUGGAUUUUGAACCUGCUGUAAUUGUGCCUUUGCUAGCUGGUUCAUUGUUAUUGUUAGCUCUGCUAUAGCCUGCCCAUGAUCAUGUAGCUCUUUGUGCAAGUGAGUUACCGUGGGGUCACCCUGUGGCACAUUGGCUCUACUUUGCCAAGUGGAGGAUGUGUCAGCCAUCUCGUCAAGAAUGUCACAAGCCUUAUCAUAAGACAACUUCAUGAAAUUACCCUCAGCAAGUUGGUUCACUAUGCACUGAUUUGUUAUGUUAAUGCCCCGGUAGAAAGUCUGUUGUAUCAUUGCCUCAGUCAUAUCAUUGUUAGGGCAUUCCUUUACCAUGGUUUUGUAUCUCUCCCAAAUCUCAUGUAAUGGUUCUAUAGGCUCCUGCUUGAAGGCUAAGGUCUCAUCCCUCAAUAUUGCUAUGUGCCUCAGUGAGAAAAACUUUGCAAUGAACUCAUCCCAAGUAGUGAUGGAAUGGUUGGGAAGUCGUUCAAGCCAAUCCAAUGCCUUCCCUCUAAGUGAGAAAGGGAAUAGUCUCAACCGAAGUGCAUCCUCUGACACAUUAGUUUGCUUGCUCCCUCAACAGGUAUCCACAAAACCCUUGAGAUGUUUGUAAGCAUUCUGAGUGGGAGCACCCGUGAAAUACCCUCUCCAACAAUGUUAGCAUCACAUUUGUAAUUUAAAAAUUGCCCGCCCGGAUCCGGGGAGGGACAAUUGUACUAGCAUAUCCUAGGUUGGGAAGCACUCGAGGAGCCACUCUUGGAGGUGUCAGGGGAGGGUCUAGAAUAUUAUCAUUCACCUGUCGGCCUCUCUUUUGAGCUUGAGGUACUAUAGGAACCUCAUCUCAAUAUUGUCAUGCACCUCCUCCCCCGGCGGAAGAUCUCCAAGAGGUGCGUUGUUUGUUGCCAUUUUGUACCAAAGUUGUGACACACACAAAUUAGUAACACAGAAGGAAAGAAGAACAAUACACAAAACUAUUUAGAUAGAUAGCCAAAAUCGUUAGUUCCCCAGCAAUAGCAUCAAAAAGUGAUCGGAUCCAACCCUACACCACUACAAAGUAGCGAGAGUGGUCAAAGAAGCUUUUACCCGAGAUGGUCGGUAUCGAAUCCACAAGGAGCUAGAAGUGGGAAUUGGAUUCCUAUCUAAACUAGAGAUUCGUAGUGCUCUUAAUUGCACUUCCAAUCAUAGUUGGUCUUUUGAUUACUUCUAAUAUUAUGCUAAUAAGAUGCUAAAUUAAGCUAAUAGUAAGAUACUUGAAAGGUUGACUAAUUGGUUAAAGAGGCACUAGGGAAGUGACUUUCUCCUAGGUGAAUACUUGACGGGUUCUCGAAUCUAAGGCAAGGUUGUCAUGUUGGGGAUUACGAUAUAACCAAUGCAUGAAACUUCUCACUCUAUACCUCUUGAUAGUUUGAGUAAUUUUGCCCUAAUUGACUUUCUCAAUACCAAUUGGGUAUGAUAAUUGGCGCAAGCAAUUUAGGUUCAAGUCGGGUAUUACUAUCUCUAGGUUUAACCCUUUAAUUGGUGCUAUCAAUCUCUUGAAUAUGCCCCAAUUCCUUAUUGGACUAAUUUUCCUAGACUCAAGCUCUCUUUCUCAAGAAGAGCCCAAGUAAAAAAGGCACAAAUUAGUGUUUGCAACCACUAAUUCAACAUGGAAAACACAAAUUAGUCCAAAUAUCAAACACCCAUAGACAUUCAAGCCUUAAAACUCAAGACNNNNNNNNNNNNNNNNNNNNNNNNNNNNNNNNNNNNNNNNNNNNNNNNNNNNNNNNNNNNNNNNNNNNNNNNNNNNNNNNNNNNNNNNNNNNNNNNNNNNNNNNNNNNNNNNNNNNNNNNNNNNNNNNNNNNNNNNNNNNNNNNNNNNNNNNNNNNNNNNNNNNNNNNNNNNNNNNNNNNNNNNNNNNNNNNNNNNNNNNNNNNNNNNNNNNNNNNNNNNNNNNNNNNNNNNNNNNNNNNNNNNNNNNNNNNNNNNNNNNNNNNNNNNNNNNNNNNNNNNNNNNNNNNNNNNNNNNNNNNNNNNNNNNNNNNNNNNNNNNNNNNNNNNNNNNNNNNNNNNNNNNNNNNNNNNNNNNNNNNNNNNNNNNNNNNNNNNNNNNNNNNNNNNNNNNNNNNNNNNNNNNNNNNNNNNNNNNNNNNNNNNNNNNNNNNNNNNNNNNNNNNNNNNNNNNNNNNNNNNNNNNNNNNNNNNNNNNNNNNNNNNNNNNNNNNNNNNNNNNNNNNNNNNNNNNNNNNNNNNNNNNNNNNNNNNNNNNNNNNNNNNNNNNNNNNNNNNNNNNNNNNNNNNNNNNNNNNNNNNNNNNNNNNNNNNNNNNNNNNNNNNNNNNNNNNNNNNNNNNNNNNNNNNNNNNNNNNNNNNNNNNNNNNNNNNNNNNNNNNNNNNNNNNNNNNNNNNNNNNNNNNNNNNNNNNNNNNNNNNNNNNNNNNNNNNNNNNNNNNNNNNNNNNNNNNNNNNNNNNNNNNNNNNNNNNNNNNNNNNNNNNNNNNNNNNNNNNNNNNNNNNNNNNNNNNNNNNNNNNNNNNNNNNNNNNNNNNNNNNNNNNNNNNNNNNNNNNNNNNUCACAUUAGGGUUGAGCCACAACCCUAGCUAAUGGGUCUAGCUACUCAUAAUAAUAGAAGAAAACUAAUAAAUAGAUGAAGGAAAACCCAUGAGAUUUAAUUAAAAGCUAAUAAUUGAAGAUUCAAUGAUAAAACCACUAUAAAAUUACUCAAAAUGGUUAAGAACAGCCAUUCAUGUGCUCAGCCAAAGUCAGAUUACAAAAGAUGACCCAAAAAUGGGAAAAGAAAGUAUUUAUAAUAGGCCAAAUUUUCUGGACAAAAAUAGCCCUGCGGGGGUAUCGCAGACCGCAAGAAAUUGAGUGCGGCCGCGGUGAGGCUUCUUGGCUUUAGAUUUCUGCUCUUUGAACUUGGCCACCGCGGGCCACAUAAACUGCACCGCAGUCGCGGUGGCUUCUACUGUGGUCCACACAAAGAGGACCGUGGACCGCAUUGGCGUUAACCUCAAAAUUCCCAACUCUCUGAACCCCAUCACUACGGACCGCACAAUAUCGAUUGCGGUCGCGGUGAGACCAAUGCGGUCCGCACAAAAUGCUUUGCAGCCGCAUUGCUUGAGUUUCCAAAAUAAGCAUCUCUCUGAAUCUCCUCACUGCGGACCGCACUAAAUGGAAUGCGGCCGCAGUGGAUCUGUUGCACUAUGCUUGGACUUGUUCUUGGUACUUGUGCAUGUUUCACCCCUUCUUGAGAUGGUUUUGACUAAUUGUCACCUUUUUUACCAAACCCUGCAAACAAGUACAACAUGUAAGCCUUUAGAACUAUUUUGUAUACAUUUUUAAUUAAAACUCAAGUAAGAAGGAGUGUAAAAUGAACCAUAAUCCCUAGUUAUCAGUAGGCAAACUCCGCUAAAGGCAAAAAUUGAUCCCACGAGCCUCGAAAGUCCAUAACACAAGCUCGGAGCAUAUCCUGCAAAAUCUAAAUAGUACGUUCGGACUGCCCGUUCGUCUGAGGAUGAAAUGUUGUGCUCAACUCGACCCAUGUGCCCAACUCAUACUGAACUGCCCUCCAUAAAUGUGAGGUAAACUGCAUACCUUAGUCCGAAAUGAUAGACACGGGCACACCAUGAAGACGAAUAAUCUACCGGAUAUAGAUCUCGGCUAACCUCUCAGAAGAAUAGGAAACUACCACAGGAAUGAAAUGUGCUGACUUGGUCAGCCUAUCAAUAUUAACCCAUACUGCAUCGAACUUUCUUUGAGUCCGUGGGAGUCCAACAACGAAGUCCAUAGUGAUACACUCCCACUUUCACUCAGGAAUCUCAAUCUUCUAGAAUAAACCACCAGGUCUCUGAUGCUCUUACUUUACCUGCUGACAAUUCAAACAUCGAGCCACAUAUGCUAUAAUAUCCUUCUUCAUCCUCCUCCACCAAUAAUGUUGCCGCAAGUCCUGAUACAUCUUAGCGGCACAUGGAUAAAUGGAAUACCGGGAACUAUGGGCCUUCUCUAGAAUAAACUCUCGAAGUCCAUCCACAUUAGGCACACAAACUCGACCCUGCUUCCUCAAAACUCAAUCGUCUCCCAAUGUAACAUGCUUGGUAUCACCCUGCUGCACUGUGUCCCUAAGGACACACAAAUGAGGAUUAUCAUACUGUCGAUCUCGGAUACACUCAAAUAAUGAAGACCGAGCGACUGUGAAAGCUAACACAUGGCUGGGAUCAGAAACAUCCAUCCUCAUGAACUGAUUGGCCAAAGCCUGAACAUCCAAAGCAAGCGGUCUCUCACCGACCGGAAUAUACGCAAGACUGCCCAUACUGGCUGACUUUCUACUCAAAGCAUCGACCACCACAUUGGCCUUCCCCAGAUGAUAUAAGAUGGUGAUAUCAUAGUCUUUCAAUAGCUCCAACCACCUUCUCUGCCUCAAAUUUAGCUACUUCUGCUUGAACAAAUACUGCAGACUCUUGUGAUCCGUGAACACCUCACAUUACAUGCCAUACAAAAAGUGCCUCCAAAUCUUCAGUGCGUGAACAAUGGCUACUAAUUCCAAAUCAUGAACUGGAUAAUUCUUCUCAUGAAUCUUCAAUUGUCGUGAAGCAUACGCAAUGACCUUGCCAUCCUGCAUCAACACCGCACCAAGUUUAAUACGAGAUGCGUCAUAAUAAACUGUGUAUGGCCCUGAACCUGUGGGCAAAACCAACACCGACGCCGUAGUCAAAGCCUUCUUGAGCUUCUGAAAGCUCGCCUCACACUCGUCCGACCACCUGAACUGGGCACCUUCUGGGUCAACCUAGUUAUCGGGGCUGCGAUAGAUGAAAACCCCUCCACAAACCAACUGUAAUAGCCCACCAAACCCAAGAAACUCCUGAUCUCUAUAGCUGACGCGGGUUUUGGCCAGUUCUUGACUGCCUCUAUCUUCUUCGGAUCCACCUGAAUACCCUCUGCUGAAAAAUGUGACCCAAGAAUGCAUCUGAACUCAACCAAAACUCACACUUUGAAAACUUAGCAUACAACUGACUAUCUCUCAAAGUCUGAAGAACAACUCUCAGAUGCUGCUCAUGCUCCUCCCUGCUGCGGGAAUAGAUCAAAAUAUCAUCAAUGAAGACUAUCAAGAAUGAAUCCAAGUAAGGCUUGAACACUCGGUUCAUCAAAUCCAUGAAAGGUGCGGGGGCAUUCGUCAACCCGAAUGAUCACCUAGAACUCAUAAUGCUCGUACCGAGUGUGAAAAGCUAUCUUAGGGACAUCGGAUGCCCUAAUCCUCAACUGAUGGUAGCCAGAUCUCAAGUCAAUCUUCGAAAAUAUCUUGGCACCCUGAAGCUGAUCAAACAAAUCAUCAAUCCUCGGCAAUAGAUACUUAUUCUUAAUUGUGACCUUGUUCAACUGCCGAUAAUCUAUACACAUCCUCAUCGAUCCGUCCUUCUUCUUAACGAACAACACCGAUGCACCCCAAGGCGAGACACUAGGUCUAAUAACGCCCUUAUCAAGCAAGUCUUGCAACUGCUCCUUCAAUUCUUUCAACUCAGGGGGGUCCAUACAAUAUGGCGGGAUAGAAAUGGGCUAAGUGCCUGGAGCCAAAUCAAUGCAGAAGUCAAUAUCCAUGUCGGGUGGCAUACCCGGCAGGUCUGAAAGAAAUACCUAAGAAAACUCACGAACAAUAGGCACAGAAUCCAUAGAAGGAACCUCGGCACUAGAAUCAUGAACAUACACUAAAUAGGCCAAACAUCCUUUAUCAACCAUACGCCUAGCCUUCAUAUAUGAUAUAAACAUACGGGUAGAAUGACUAGGAGUCCAUCUCCACUCUAAAUGAGGUAAACCCAGCAAGGCUAAGGUCAUAGUCUUGGCAUGACAGUCCAAGAUAACGUGGUAAUGUGAUAACCAGUCCAUCCCCAAUAUGACAUCAAAAUCAACCAUGUCCAAAAGUAACAAAUAUACCCGAGUCUCAAGACCCCCAAUCAUAACUAUACAUGAACGAUGGACACGAUCUACCACAAUAUAAUUACCCACUGGUGUAGAUGCAUAUACAAGAGCACUCAAAGAAUCACUAGGCAUGACCAAAUACGGUGCAAAAUAAGAUGACACAUAGGAGUAUGUAGAUCCUAGAUCAAAUAGAACUGAAGCAUCUCUACUACAAACCAGAACAGUACAUGUGAUAACUACAUCGGAAGCCUCAGCCUCAGGCCUGACUGGAAGAGCAUAACAUCGGGGCUGGGCCCCACCACUCUAAACUACCUCUCUAGGAUGGCCUCCUGCUGGCUGGCCUCCACCUCUAGCGGCCUAACCUCCAGCUCUAACUACCUCUAUCUCUAGCACCUCUAACUCCACCUUUAGCUGGCUGAGUGGGCGGUGCAACACUCGGUGCCUGAACUAUGGCAUGGGAACCUUGAUGCUGAGAGCUGCUCGGUGAUAGAGGGCAAAAUCUAGCAAUAUGCCUUAUAUCGCCACAAGUAUAACAAGUUAUCGGCUGCUGAGACUACUGACCCUGAUGGCCUGAAUAACCACUUUGAAAACUCUGGAGUGGAGGUGCACUGAUAGAAGCUGGCGGUGCACUGUAGGGCAACUGAUCUGAAUAAUGCAUAUGAGAACCAUGGCCACCUGGAGUACCGUGAGAAGCCUGAAGUGCUGAAUGAAACAGCUUGGAAGAAUGGACCCUACCAAAAGAAUCUCUGCCUCCAGAUGAGGCACCACUGAAUUUGCCCGAAUGACGAGGCCUCUUGUCAGACCCCUGACCACUCCCUUGUGAUAAAACCAUAUCAACUCUCCUGGCCACAUUGGUUGCAUCCUGAAAAGAAAUCUCGCUCCCAGUCUCCUUAGUCAUCUACAAUCGAAUAAGCUGAACGAGCCCCUCAAUGAACCUCCUCACUCUCUCUCUGUCUCUCUCUCAAUAGGAAGUAUAAGAAGAGUAUGACGGGCCAACUCAAUAAAUCUGGUCUCGUACUGAGUAACAGUCAUAGAACCCUGCUGGAGAUGCUCAAACUGCCUCCGAUAGUUCUCCCUCUAAGUGAUAGGAAGAAACUUCUCUAGAAAUAGCUGAGAGAACUGAUCCCAAGUCAAAGCCGGUGACCUAGCUGGUCUAGCCAAAUAAUAAUCUCUCCACCAAGUCUUGGCGGAUCCAGACAAAUGAAAAACAGCAAAGUCGACCCCAUUGGUCUCCACUAUCCCCAUGUUUCAUAGAACCUCAUGACAGCUGUCCAAAUAACCUUGGGGAUCCUUAGAAGAUGUACCACCAAAAGUAGUAGUAAAGAGCUUAGUGAACCUGUCCAAUCUCCACAAGGCAUCAGCAGACAUAGCUGGCCCCUUACAUGUCUGUGCCACAACUCCACGCUGAACUACCCCAACUGGCUGAGUUGCUGGAGUCUGAAACUGGGGAGCCAUCUGCUCCGAAGUGCGAGUAGCAGGAGUCUGGGCUCCUCCUCCAUCCUGAGAGAUCGCUGGUGCUACAGGAAGCAAGCCUGCCUGGGUAACACUCUCCAUAAGGCCCACUAGAUGGACUAGAGCAUCUUGAAGUACCGGGGUGGCGAUGAACCCUUUUGGGACCUGAGCUGGUCCUGCUGGAACUGUCUAGGCUGGAACCUCAUCUUCAAACUCAACCUGAGGCUCCGUCGCUGGUGCUGCUGCUCAAGCUCUGGGUUGAGCUCUGCCUCUGCCUCGGGCCCUAGCACGGCCUCGGCCUCUGCCCCUUGCAGGAGUUGAUACUGGGGGCUCGGGCUGCUAGUCAGCUGAUGAAGCGGUAUGUGUUCUCACCAUCUGCGAAAGAACAAAGUGGAAGUUCAAUUAGCAUUGCGAAUUCAAGUUGCACGAUAGGAAAGAAUAGAUGUGAAGUUUUACCUAACUCUGUAGCCUCUGGGAUAAAUACAGACGUCUCUGUACCGAUCCCUCAGACUCUACUAAGAUUGUCCGUGAUUUAUAAGACCUAAGAAACCUAGAGCUCUAAUACCAACUUGUCAUGACCCGAAUUUCCCACCCUCGGGAGUCGUGAUGACGCCUACUCGUGAAAGCUAGGCAAGCCGAGUAUUAUAGAUUCAUUAACCUUUUUACUUAGCCUUUUUAACAGUUCGAUAUAGCAAGUGAUCAACAACGGAAUAAUUAUAAUAAACCGAAAUGCAGAAGAUGAAAACUAAUAGUUUAAUCAUAUACUGGUGCGGAAUCCAACAUACAACCCUACCCAGAAUUUGGUGUCACAAUGUCACGCACUAUCUACGAAUACUAAAAAUAGUGGUCUGAAAGAUAAAUACAAAGCUAUCUCUGAAAUACAUAAAAGAAACAGAAUGGAAAGAUAGAAGGAGACGUCAAAGCCUGCAGGACUACCUCGGGUCUCCACCACUGGACUGAAGGCAGCAACCUCACUUUGGUCCAAAAGCUGUAGCACCAGAAUCUGCACACAGUGCAGAGUGUAGUAUCAGCACAACCGACCCCAUGUGCUGGUAAGUGCCUAGCCUAACCUCGGCGAAGUAGUGACGAGGCUAGGACAAGGCUACCAAAUAAACCUAUGCAGUUAAAUCAUAUACAACGGAAAAAUAAAGGCAAAAAUUUACAGUUAAAGACGGGAGGGGGAAACAUGCUGCAGAAAAUAUCAGGUAACAACAGAAAGCCAAUAGGGAAAUGUAAAGAACGCCAUAAUUCAAAUUAUCAGCAAGAAUCAGGAACUCAAUAACACGUGCACGACAUCACCCUUCGUGCUUUUACUCUCAUCCUCACCAUAAGAAUCAAUAGAAUCGGCAUGGCACACCCUUCGUGCGAUUACCUCACAUAAUCAUAGCACGGAAUUAUCCUUCAUGCAUUAUCUCAUAUCAUGGCACGACAUUGUACAUCGUGCGACACAGCAUCACCCUUCGUGCUUUUACCUCACAAUAUCGGCACAACAUCACCCUUCUUGCAUUAACACUCUCAAAAUCACGCACGGCAUCACCCUUCGUGCUUUACACUCUUCCUCACCCAAGAAACAAUCACAAAGCAAUUUGGGCAAGGGAAUCAAUAAUAUCACAAUAGAAUCCCGGCAAGGGAACAAUAGCAUAUCAAUAAUAUCCUGGCAAGGGAACAAUAUCAUGAGCAAUAAUAUCCCAGCAAGGGAGACAAUAUCAAAAGCAAUGACAUCCCGGCAAGGGAGACAAUAUCAUAAACAUCUUCUCUUUUCCACAAUUACUUCACAACUCAAUUCUCAACUUGAGCCAAUGCUCUAAAACGUUCAAUUACCAAGAAUACUUCCAUAAACUUUGUUCAACAUUAGAAAUCAUCAUAUUAAGCAAGAACAAUACAAACAGAGUCACAUCAAUCAUUGUAUAAGACUCACAAGCAUGCUUGACACCGACGUAUAGAUACUCGUCACCACACCUAUACGUUGUACUCAACAAUUAACACAUAGCAAAUAAGACACAACUCUUAAUCCCUCAAGCUAAGGUUAGACCAAACACUUACCUCAAUGCCACGAACACAAUUUAAGCCUCAACUACCGCUUUACCUCUUGUUUCCACCACCAAUUCGCUUGUAUUUAGCCACAAUUCACUUAAGAUAUCAAUAAAUGCUAAAUAAAUCAAUUCUAAUGUAUGAAAAUAGGUUUUCCAAUGAUUUCCCCAAAAAAGUCAAAAAAUCGACCCCGAGCCCACAUGGUCAAAACCCGAGGUUCAAACCAAAACCCGAUUACCCAUUCACCCACGAACCCAAAUAUAUAAUUUAUUUUUAAAUGGGACCUCAAAUCGAGGUCCAAAUCCCCAAAAAUUAAAAAUCCUAAGUUCUACCCAAAACACCCUAUUUCCCCCAUGAAAACCCUUGAUUUUGAAUUGAAAUAAUGUGAAAAGAUGUUAUAGAUUAAAGAAAAUGAGUUAGAAACGACUUACAAUUGAUUUGGAGAAGAACUUUUCUUUAGAAAAUCGCCCAAGAGAGCUUAGGGUUUGAGGGAGUUUGAAAAAUGAAGAAUUUUCAUCUAAGUUAUGAUUUACACAGGUGCAAAUGUCGCAAUUCCGACCAAUUGCGAACCCCUUUGGAACCUGUUGUCUUUGCAAAUGCGAAAAAUCUGUCGCAUUUGCGACCAUGGGAAAAUUCUAUCACCUUCGCAAUUGCGAAGGAAACAUCGCAUUUGUGAUUGGGAGGGCUUCGCAAUUCCCACCCAGUGUUCGCAUUUGUGAAAAAGGCCUGCCCAGGCCUGGCUCGCAUUUGCGACAGUGGGGUCGCAUUUACCAAGCCUGUCCACUUCGCAAUUGCGAAGCCUGAUCUUGCAAUUGCGAGAUCAAAGGCAUGGGCAAAAGUAGCAGAUACCAGCAAUUGCUCCUAAGUCCAAUUUCACUCUGUGACCUAUCCAAACCUCACCCGAGCCCUUGGGACUCCACACCAAACAUGCACGCAAGUCCAAAAACAUCAUACGGACCUGUUCGUACGAUUAAAUCAUCAAAAUAACGUCAAAAACUAUGAAUUAAACCUCAAAUUCAUGAAAUUACUCAAGAACAAUGAAAUUACUAUUUUCUCAAUAAAAGGUCUGAUUUAUACCAAACAAACUCUGAUUUUUACCAAACUUCACAGAUUCAACUUAAUUAUUAUUUCAAACUUGUACCUUGCUCCAGAACCAAGAUACAGGCCCGAUAACAUCAAGAAAUUACAUCAAUUCACUUCUAAAAGCCUUCAUAUUUUCCAUAAAACAAUUUUCUUUAAAAAAUUCAUUUCUUAGGCUUGGAACCUCAUAAUUUGAUUCCGGGCAUACGCCUAAGUCCCAUAUUUUACUAUUGAACCAACGAGACCAUCCGAUCAUGGGUCCGAGUCUGUUUACCAAGAAUGUUAACCAAAGUCAACUUUAAGCAAACUUUAAAAGCCAAUUUCCUUAUUUUUCUUAGUUUUCACAUAAAAGCUUUCCGGAAACGCGCCCGGACUGAGCAUGCAAAUCGAGUGAGAUAAAAAGAGGUUUUUAAGGCCUCGCAACACAAAAUUUACUUUCAAAACGAGUGAUGACCCAAAUCACUAGACUUUGUUGGUUUUCAUGGACUGUAAUUCUUCUUUCAUUGCUUUCAUCCACUCAUCUUUUCCAGGGAUCGAUAAAGCCUCAGUCACAGACUUUGGCUCGUCCAUUUCUGUGGGAGAUACCAAGAAAACAUAAUCUUAAAUGUCAUAAGUACGUUUGGGUAUAUUUUUUCUGGCACUCUUUCGUAGUUAAAAUUCAGGUUCGUCAGAAGGAUUUUGGGAUUGAGAGUUCCCACUCCCACUCGGAUUAAGAAUAAGAUCUUGAUCAAUUUGAUUAUUAACGGUGUCAAAAGACACUUGCUGACAAUCUAAGUUCAAUAUUUCAUAAAGAGGCUCUCCAUUCUUUACCUCGGCCUUCUUUGGAAAAUUAUUUUCCAAAAAUAUGACAUCUCGUGAUUCAAUCUCAGUAACACUUCCAUCCUCCAAUUCACCAAUGAAUACAUACCCUUUGGAGUGUUCUGGAUAUUUUAUAAAAAUACAUUUCUUGCCUUUUGGACCUAAUUUACCAAACUUGCUAAAAAAAAUAUUUUACAUAUGCACCACAACCCCAAGGUCGUAAAUCCUUUAAGUUUGGUUUAUGAUCAGUCCAAAGCUCAUAAGGAGUGGAAGAAACUAAUUUAGAAGGCAAUUUGUUCAAUAUGUAAGUUGCAGUCAAUAACGCAUCUCCCCAAAAGGAGAUAGGUAAAUUUGCAUGCACCAUCAUGGACCUUAUCAUGUCCAAUAGUGUUCUAUUCCUCCUUUUUGCUACAUCAUUUUUGUUGAGGUAUGUACAGAAUAGUUAAUUGUCUGGUGAUUCUUUUUUCAUUGCACAAUUCUUCAAAUUCUUUUGAAAGAUAUUCACGCCCUCUAUGGGUUCUUAGGGUCUUAAUCCUUUUGUCUAGUUGAUUCUCAACUUCAUUCAAAUAUGUCUUAAAGCAUUCAAGUGCUUCAAAUUUAUGAGAAAUCAAAUGAACAUAACCAAACCGUGUGAAAUCAUCAAUGAAUGUAAUAAAAUAUAAAGUACCAGACCUAGCCCUCACAUUCAUUGGACCACAAAUAUUAGAAUGGAUUAAUUGCAAUGGAAAAUCAGCUCUCUUAGCCUUUCCAAAUGGUUUACGUUUAAUCUUUCCGGCAAGACAAUUUUCAGAAGUUGGCAUUUCAAUUUUAGAGAAAGAACUUAGAUGUCCUUCCUUAGCCAAUCUAUUCAUUCAAUCCUGCCCUAUGUGACCUAAUCUUGCAUGCCAUGUAAUAACAUCAACAUUAUUGUUACUAGAAUAACAUUACAUAACACAACGGUCAACAUAAUAGUUAUACGUGGAAGGAUUAUAAUCUAACACAAUAAAACCAUCAUAACGAUGUCCAAAACUAUAAAAAAUAUUGUCUUGAGUAAUUCUAAGACCACUGCGACUAAAGUUCAAAUUGAAAUCUAAAUCUAGAAGAACAGACACAGAUACUAAGUUUCGUUGAAUCUCUAGAACAUAUAGGACGUCAUGCAACAUCAAAGAUCGGGCACCACACAUGUCCAUUCUGCAAGUGCCUAUCCCUUUGACUUCAAGCUUUGCAUUAUUUCUCACAUAUACGUGCUUUGAUCCAGGUGGAACUCGACGAAAUUCUAUACACGCUUCUCUAUCGCGACUUACAUUGUCUGUGGCCCCUGAGUCUACAAUCCACACAGGAUAAGAUUCAAUUAGUAAAACAGUGCUAGAAACAUAUAUAUCACUAAGAGAUGCUCUUUGAAAUGCUACCUUUUUCGGCUCAGUGCACUCACGAGCAAAAUGCCCUGGGAUUUGGCAAUUGUAACACUUAAUCUUGCUCUUGUCUUUCUUCUUGUAGAAUCGUUUGUGGCUUGUUUCUUUUCUUGGAGGGUCCUUCUCCAAUCUCCUUACCCUUUCCGUUAUUUUUUCAGUUCUCAUUGCGCUUGAAGCUUGAUCUCUUUAUACCACUUGAUUCUGCCACAAAGGCAUUAGGUACAGCUUUAGCAACACCAAUCCGCUCAUCUUCAAGCUCCACAUGACGGGCAACAUCAGCAAAAAUUUUGAUGUUAUCAUUGUGGGUCAAGUUAACCUUCAAAUGUUCCCAAUUAUUGAGAAGAGACCGAAUCACUGCCUGAACCUGCUGCUCAUCAGAGAGAACAUGACCAUCACUUUUGAGUUGAGCAAUCAUAUUUGACAUCACCCUUAGAUGUUGCUUGACACCGUGAUCAUAACGCUUUUGUACGUGUCAAACUUGAUUGUCAGUUGUCGAAGGCUAGUCACAGUCGUACCCCCAUAUGCCUCUCUUAAAUGUGCCCACAUGGCUAGAACAGUAGGAUAUUGCUCACAUUCGUGGAUGAGAUCAUCAACAACUAAACUUACAAUAGUUCUACGUGUAGUGGAAUCUUUCUUUUUCUAAACAUUGUAAGUUUCCAGAUCCCUCCUGUGUUGGGCAGUGUUACCCUCCUCUGGGUGACUCAUAUAAUGGUUAAUAUUUUCAAGAGCAUCUUGCUCUUCGAGUACAUACCACAUCUUACGACACCAGAUAUCGUAAUUUUCACCAUUCAGUUUGUAACCCUUGCUCAAGUCGGCAAUGAUACUUUUUGAUGUCAUGUCUGUUAUUAGAGACAAUAUUACAAGUUUAACUCAUCAAUAUAUAUUUCAGUUAAUUUAUGCAUGUGAUUGUACGCUCAAGUAAAUUAAUUAUAAUAUUAAUUCUAUAUUUAGUAUAGAAUCGAACGGUCACUACGUUUUCAUUCAUCAUCUAUAUCUAAAUAUUUUUAAAAAAUAUUAAAAUCACUUCUUAGUGUGUACUUUAUUUCAAGUUUCAAUCCAUUACAAAAAAUAUAAUAAACAAUGUAUGUAACUGGCGAUACAAAUAACAUAAUAUAAAUUUCAUUAAGAUAAAACACCUAAUAACAAUUUACAUGUUUGCUAGGACAUUCAUAUACCAAUCGAACACUAACUCUUGCUCAUAUACGCUAAAAGGUGCACUAGGCCAAACAUCAUAAUAAAUCUCAAUUAAAAUUUUACCCCAAGGCUCUCGAAGAGAGUCCGCUAAAAUAUCUAAUGCUUCCCAAUCAGUGAUCUCUACUAAUUAGCCAAUUCAGCUCUUUUUAUCUUAAAAAGGUAUACAUGUUCAGGAACGGAAACAUUAGUGCCCAUUUUAAAUUCCUUAAACUCCCUAAAUUUCUUUUCUCUUUCCCUUCGUUCAGCCCUUCGAUCCCUUAACUCAUUUUGUCUCGCCCUUGGGACAUUCCUGAUGACUUCAAGCUCCGAGUCUGAAUCAUUAUAGAAAAAAGUCCUGCGACGACGUACCCUUCUACGUUGUCCCCUUCCUUAACUUCGAGAACUCCCACUUGGAGUAAUUCGAAUUUGUCCCUGUUCAACCAUAUCUGAAAUUGGACCAAGAAAACAAUAAGAAUGGCUACAACUACUCAAUGUGACAACAUAUGUCACAAUAACUCGUAGAAGUAUAUCAAUAUAAGGGAUAAAGGCUAAACUAAUUUUAUAUUAAGUAGAUAAAAAAAAUCAUUUUUCCAGUUUCAACAAGUGAAGGCAUAUUAUGAGAACAGAAUGCUUAUGAACCAGAAACACAAAUUUCACAUGCCUAAUUCAAAGUCAGAAAAGUCCCACAAUUCACUAUGUUGGGUGAUAUUUUUUUACAAGAAUCGGUAAACUUCAACUUGCAUUCCCAACAAGUUUUGCCACUGUCAAAAUCCAUGUUGCAUUAGCAAUCUAACAAAGUUGGAUAAGUCGUUUGCCACAGAACUAAGACUUAAUUUUUUCAACCAAAUCCAGUAGUGAAUUAGCAGGUACUACCAUAGACUGACAGUAACCCCACAAUCAGAAUAAUCACCACUUCUGCCUCAAAUUUGAUCAAAGUUUAUAACUUUUCUCCUAAAAGUAAGUUACUUUAUUUAGAAUUCUUUAUAAGAAUUCUUUCUUAUAAAAUAUUUACUUUCUUAUAAAGAAUUCUUUAUAAGAUUCAUACAGUUGUGAACUCACCAGCAGUUAUCAAGAAUUCUCAACUUUGUUGUUUAGAGGGCGAGUACACAUCAUACUAAUGGUAUUUGUUUUGCUUUGGCUUAAUACUAAAUACAUGAAGAGCAACAAUUGAAUUACCAUUAAAUAACAGUACUAGAUGGUAGAAAAAAUUAACGCCAUUUUAGUACUCCUUUUUCAAUUUUCUGAACCAAACUUUUUCAACAGAGUUUUCUAUUAUUCCAUGUUUAAAGAAACAAGAAACAACGCUGGCUCUGAUACCAUUGUAAGAUUAAUAAUCGUGGGGCGAGAAUAAUAUUUAUAUACUUAUCAAUACAUCGGAAGACUUGUUGAACUCACCACCAAAAGAAUUACCCCAAGUCGAACUUUAAAUCUCUUGGAAAAUAAAGUUUAGUUUCACAAACUGAAUGUCUUUGUUCUUGUGUGUUUUGCGAAAAGAAGAAGAGAAAUCUUCACUGUUAUGGAAGAAGAAAAUAGAUGAAAAAGGAAGAGCAAGAACCCACUUUCUGUUCAUUCAUCCCACUUUCAAUAGGAAGACCAAAUGAGUUAUUAUAGAGAAAGAAUUAACUGCUAUGUGAAACUGCUCAACUACACCCAAACGUAUAGUAACUUCCCCAAAGAAGUUACUUUGCUCUCAAACUCUAUCUCUUCCCAAAUGGGUUGGGUUAGCCCAUAUAGAGCGACUCAGUAUCCGAAUUUUAAUACCCAACAUUUUCAUAUUUAGUUAGCUUCGAUAUUUUAUUUAAGUUUUCAUCUCCAAUUGCAGUAAAAUGACUUUUACAGCAAGAGGAGGGAAAGUAUUUUUGAAACUUUCCAAUUGAUGGUUCCAACCCUCCCAUCCCAUCCACCACCCUUUUGCCACCGUGUUCGCGCCACCACCCUACCUCUCGGCCCAAUGCUCCCUCUCCCGUUCCUUCCCGGCCUCAAACUCCUCAUCCUGACCCCCCGGACUACCUAACUCUCCAACUAGAAGCAUAUCCAAUGUUUGAUGGUUACGAGUGCCAUUGUCUUUAAUGUACCGCUUGUCAAUGAGAUUGAGUUAAGACGUGUGUUUAGUUUAUUUGACUCAUUUUAAAUAAUUCGAUUUGGUUCGCUUUAUUUGGAAUUAAGUUAAUUUGAUUUACAAGAUUUUUGGUGUAUAAACAAAUGCACAAUCAUAUGACUAAAUAAUUCUCCAAUUCAAAAUCAAGAAAAAACUAACAUUACACAGAUAAGAAUAGAAAAUGAUUACUAUCACAUUCAAAUACAAUAUUGAAAAUCUAAAAAAAAAAUGGAAGCAAAUAUAUAAUUUAGAUAAAUAAUAAAAAUUUGAUUGUACAAAGAGAGAGGAAAUACAAAGAUAAUUUUUUUUCUUAUAGAAAUUAAGAAAAGAAAAGAAAAAAAAGGAACAAGUACGACGGGAAAAGUGAAAGUCGUCAUAUUUUAAAGUGUAAACGCAUGAAAUUUUGGGUGAGGAUGCACCCCCGUCUUCUGCGUAUAUCCACCCUUGCCUUAAGAUAUAGUCACUCCACCUCAACCUUAUAGAGUUUGCUUAGAAAAUAUAUACUCGGGGAUAUAUUUUUGAGUAUAUAUUUUUUGCCUACUUACUAAAUAUUUAAUUUUCAGGAAAAUAUUUUUGUUCAUUCCUACCAAACACAUCCUAUAAAGGAUAAAUACUAUUUUAUAAAUUGCAACUUUUAGCUUUUGGACAUAGAUUUGAUUGAAACUUGAUUUUUUUUUUGAAAUUGUGUGGAAAAAUAUUUUUCGGAAGUUGAAAUUGUGUUUGGACAUGCAUUUAUUUGAAAAAGUUGAAGUUUUGUGAGUGGAAGAAAACUGUCCUAAACUAGUUUUUUUGGAACUUGAUGUUUUUUUAUAUCUGAUCAUAUUCUAUGAAUAAAUAAUUUUUUUAUUUUUUUAAUAUGGCCAAACGAGAGAAUUUUUAAAUCUUUUCCUGGAAUGUCAACUACUAGCCUAUUUGGCCAAGCUGCAAAAAUCUUUUUUUUUAAAAGUGCUUUUCUCAAAAGUACUUUUGGUGAGAAGCAGUUUGUGUUUGACUAAUUAGUUUGAAAAACACUUCUGAGCAGCAAUUAGUGUUUGACCAAGCUUUAAAAAACUACUUAUAAAUAUAUUUUUUAUCAAAAUUGCUUCUGCUUCUCCUCAAAAUUAUUUUUUUUACGAAGCUUGGCCAAACCGCUCAAAUUGAUCCAAAAGUUCUUUUGGGCAAAAAAAAAAAGCACUUUUCCCCAAUUGUUCAACCACAUAAUACACUAAAAAUUCAGCUAAACCCAUCAGUACUGCUUUAGUGCAUUUUCUUCAAAUUAAGCCGAGAGGCUAACAAAAAAUAAGCUUACAGAUCUGCCCAAAUUUUAAGCGGUUGCAGGUUGUUGUGGGCUACUAGAAGCUAAAAGUUGUUCAAAAAAUGGCGAAUCAGGGCAGCACUGAUGCUUCAUCUGCAAGAAAAGCCUCAAUCACUCACGUAAUCUUUGACAUGGACGGCCUUCUUCUAGGUAUAUAUCAUUCUGUAUAGGAUCUUUCUUACUUGAUUUACUAUAGUUCCAUUCUAUUUUGCAAAUCUGGAUGACUUGAGAAUGCAAUGCCCACUGUUUCUUCACCCAAUUGCCCAUUUUGCCAAUAACUGGUAAUGUGCUUGUGCGAAUUUCCUAUAAGUAGUUUUUCAAGGGUUGGUAUACCUUUGGUAUCCUAUCGUUUGCUUAAAUUGUUUGUUCUUUGGAUGUCGUAAAAUUUGUGAUCAUUGGGGAAGUGAAGUUAAAAAAUUUGAGUGUGAUAUGUUCUACCCUUAUUUUAAAUCAUAAUCAAUCUUAAUCAUAUUUUCUAAUAUUGAUUUCUGACCACAAUCUACAUAGCCCCUCUUAUUUCUUCCUUUUGUAUGUUACAUUUAGGAUUGAUGCAAUUGGUAAUGAUUUAAUGACUUGUAGACACGGCGACGAAGUUGCAUUUGUCAGUGAAAGUUAGUGUAAAUUUGGUGAACUACAAAUGCAAGUUCGUCAUCGUCCUAAUUCUCAUCUAUAAGUUAUCAAAUCGUUUCCAGUUGCAUCAAUCCCAAAUACAACAUCUUCCAUAACCAGAGCUCAUAGAAGAAAGAGAUAAGAGGGUCUUGUAUAGAAUGAGGUAAAAAGUCCAUAAUAGAGAAUAUGAUUAUGAUUGAAAGAAGAGGUUGAAUACUGUGCUUUUGAUGUUAUACCUUGUCAGCUGUGAUAGACUCAGGAUUUGUAAAAAUAGGGUAGGGAAGAUCAUCUAUUUGACAAUACUUAGCAGAACUUCUGAAUAAAAAUCUUAGGGGUUAGAGGGGACAGAAGUAAUUCCGUAAGGCGUUUUUAAAAAUUUAGAAAAGCUUUUGAAGGGUAAAGUUUCAUUCGUGGAGAAUAUUGAGCGCAUGCGGUGCAACAAAACAAUCAGCCGCUGCUUGAGGGCCUUAUUUGAUUUGGAAUUUUGAAGUUGCCUUUCUUAUUGAUACCACAAGUUGUCAAUGAUAAGUGAUAUGUGAACAACUCUACAAUAUCUAGUCUCUUUAAGUGAAACCUUGUGACCAUUAGGCCAUUUCUUAUGCAGAGAAGAUUAGUCAAGAUUUAUUACUACUUUUCUCUAUAGGUAAAUUAACUGACAAGAGUGGGCUGCUCUAGUGGUGAGCACCCUCCACUUACAACCAAGAGGUUGUGAGUUCGAGUCAGCCUAAGAGCAAGGUGAGGAAUUCUUGGAGGGAGGGAUGCCGAGGGUCUAUCGGAAACAUCCUCUCUACCCCAGAGUAGGGGUAAGGUCUGCGUACACACUACCCUCCCCAGACCCCACUAGUGGGACUAUACUGGGUUGUUAUUGUUGUUGCCUAUAGGUAAAUUAAGCCACUAAACAUUCUAAUGGAGAUGGUAUAAUAAGAGUGUUCCUCAAGCAUGUAUACGCAUUUGUAUGUCUAUGUCUUUCUGAUGUAACAUCACAUAUCUGGCACGUAAGUUACUCAAGACCUAUGUUGCGGGGACUCUCCAAAGUGUUGCCGCACCCGUGUCAGAUCCUUAAAAAAUGCACUACCUUUGGAGGAUCCGACACGCAUCCCGCGACAUUUUCGGAGAGUCCAAGCAACAAAGCUCAAGACUAAGACAUUUCUCACCUAUCAAAGAAAACAAAAUGGCCUUUUUUAGCUCUUUGAUUAUAUUUCCCCCUAAUUAAAAGGAAUGAAGAGUAAAUUACCGAGCUUUGUGGUUCUGAGAGCAUGCUACCAUAGCAGAAAAAGACUUGCUUUCUUUGUUUUAAUGACAUAUUACUCACUGCCUAUACGCUGGUAUGAUUCUUAUUUCACUAGAAACCUUACACGUGUGCAUCUGUAGCGGAAACAUUAGCAACGGGAUAGUUAGAGAAAGUCUCCUCUGCCAUGCAUUAUUUUAUCUUCUACUUUUCUUAGAGGUGUACGUACAAUCUCAUGAAGUGAGGAUUGCGCAGGACCAUAUAAGGUGAGCAAAUAUUCCACAUCCCAACGAUAUGGGACAACUCAACAAACUCUUAUACGCUAGAAAGCUUGGUGCGCUUUGAGAUUUAUAAAUGUCAACAAAAAUCUAGUUCCAUCUUUGUCAACCAAAGAAAAAAAAUCUAGUCUCCCGUUCUCUCAGUGCAACAGUAAGAUUGAUGUUUAUUUCUUAUAGGUGAUCUUGAAGUUUAGAAAAAGGAUCCAUGUACUAUUUCAUUUGAUUUUUAGUGAGGUCAUUUACUUUUUCAAUCCAAGAGUUUGUUAUUUUGGAUUUUAUUUUGUUACCCAGGUUAUAUAACUUAAAUAACCAUAGAACAAAUUCACACAGCCAAAUCUGUUAUGCCCCUUGGAUAUGUGUAUUUGGUUUAACCACAGCGGACACUGCAUGGCUUUUUAUAAUUUAAUGUUUUUUACAUCAUGUGAUAUAUUAGGACACUCCAGUCUGUUUCUUUGAAAAAAAAGAGAGCUUCUAAAUAAUGGGAAGAGCAGGUGAGGAUAGAUUGUUAACUUGGGGGAUCCAAGGGGAGAUUGAUAUACCAGGCUUUUCCUGUUUGUUGGAUUCUAUUGGAAAGAAACAAGGAAAUCUUUGUGUAGUUGAAUAGUUGCUACUUGAAUUCAAGUCUUGGUUGACUAGCUUAUGUGUUGCUUUUCUUUUGUGUAUCAGACACGGAGAAAUUCUAUACGGAGGUCCAGGAGAUUAUACUUGCUAGGUAUAAUAAGACUUUUGAUUGGUCACUCAAGGCAAAGAUGAUGGGGAAGAAGGCGAUAGAGGCUGCCAGGGUCUUUGUUGAAGAGACAGGAAUAAGUGAUUCACUUACAGCUGAAGAUUUUCUUGUAGAAAGAGAGGAAAUGUUGCAGAAAAUGUUUCCCACAAGUGACCUCAUGCCAGGUACAAGUUUAAGCACUAGUGGCAGAUUAUUCUUCUUUAUUCCUUUCUCAAGUUUCAGGUUUCUCACCCUUCCUGAGUGUUCUACAUAAGAGUAGCAGACGUUUAUGGGAUUGGUUAUUUGUCUUAAAAUGGCAUGGAGUAGCCACCUUCCUUUUUGACCAAGUUCCUUUUGAUGGUCCGUUCUGCAAAUUUUCUCUGCAAAGUUACUUUUGAGUUUAGCUUCAGUAAUCAUCGUUUUGUUUCUUCUGACAGUUACAUCAUUCCUUCAUUUUUAUCAAUCUAUUGAUUUUCGAAUAACCCCUUCCGUCAUGAGAUGUGACUGAAAGAGCCAUUUUUCUUUUUAGUCAUUAAAGAAAUCUUCUGUUUCCAGAAAACUCUGGUUAUCCUCCUAGUUCUUCUCACAUUCAGUUUUCCAUUUUUCUCAACCAGUAUAUGGCACAAAUUUCAGGUUUUAGCUUCAGGUGAAAACCAUGUGAAUGUAUUUUUAUCUUUUAGCAUGAAAAAGAUACUUUGAAGUGAUAGUUAGAACUGUCGAGGUGUGCGCAAGCUAGACUGGACACCACCGUUAUAUAAAAGAAGUUGAUCCAAACGAUGUGAAAUUAAGUUUUGAAUAGUGCUAAAUAGACAAGUAGGGACAGGUGGAAAAUUUUUGUAUUGUAUCUGGUGUUCCCUUCAAUAUUCAAGUCGGAUUCUAAACUUCCUAUUUGUGAAAUUUGUGAAAGGGAAAAGGCAGGGGGUCGCGUUCUCAUGAAUCUCUCUUGAAACGAGACGAGAUUUUCUGCUUUAAUGCUUAUUUUUGUGAAAGGUAAAAGGCUGUGUUGAAGCCGUAUAUACAGAGCAAAAAGAUCAUCAAAAAGAGACCCUAAAAGGUCUUACAAGGAUCCAAUGAUAUCUGCCAAAGCCUCUACAUCUUGCAGAAGUUCUUCUUUACACCAAAAAUAAAAUAGUAUCAUACAGUUCAUCUUAACUUUCUGUAAAGGGCUGCAUUUCCUUCAAAACACCUAAGUUCCUUUCCAUCCAUACUGUCCACCAUACCCAUGCUGGAUUUUUUUUUUUUGAUUUGCACCGGGUGUCCGAGUCUCUUCGAGCCCCGACUAAUCCCGGGGGUGCACAGGCCCUCGGCAAGGAGUUUCACGCAAGUGCACCACGGUUAAUUCAGGUUUUACCCAGUCCGAUGGCCCUCAGAAAUUGUUUGCACCCAGUGGGUUUCGAACUUGAGACCUUGAAAGGGAGCAAACCCCAAGGCUCAAGUCAAUUGCCACCAGGCCAACCCCUGAGGGUUCCCAUGCUGGAAUUGAGCUCCAUCAUCUCUUCUGCUUCACUGUACCUCCCAUGUUGUUUCAACAUUUUAGCAGAUCUCCUGUGGACUUAGGCAUAACCCACUUAAUUCCUUUCAUACCGAGAAACAAUUGCCACAGCUGGUCAGUGAGUCGACAGUGAAUGAAAAGGUGGUUGAUGGUCCCGUACUCCUUCCCACAUACAAAAGCAUCUAGAGCAUAACUUGAAGCCCUUUCUCUUCAAGUUUUCUUGAGUCAGACAUGCCCUUUAGAAACUAACCAUACAAAGCAAGCUACUUUAUAGCAAUCAACUUUAUCCAAGUUUUGCUAAGGGAAUAACCAGUUCUUAAGGAUGAGACACCCAUAUUGCCUGAACAUACAAGCUGCUAAAUGCUAAUGGGGUUUCAAUCCUUUCUCUUUAUCUCUAUCUCUGCCGGCUAAUGGGGCCUAACUUAUAUGGUAUUUCGCGAUGAACUUCUACCAAUAGGGGAUAGCUUUAGCUGAGUUUAAUACUCUGGAGAGGCUGUGCUUUACUUGAUGGAAAUAGCUCCGCAUUUCUUUUCAUCACCCAAAAGAAGAAGCGGGUAAUAUGCAGGGAUCGGUAACCUUUAGAUGCCAAAUAAAAGCUUCCCUUAUAACAUUUUUGCUUUAUUUUGCAUUUCAAAGCCUUGGAGCUGUCGCCAGAGGAUGGCCUAGUGGUUGGGAGCUGGAGUAACAACCUUGAUCAAUUAUAUUCGAAUCUCAGCAGAGGCGACCCUAGAUGAAACUUCCAAUUUGCCUAAAGUCUUGGUGGCUAGAGCUAUCCGGUACAUGUGCUAGUUGGGGAUGAUAGGUACUGGAUUGAUUUUGUGGAGGUGCAUGCAAGCUGGCCUCAAUACCACUAUUAUCAAAAAAAAUUAUAAAAGAAAAUUCUAUAUUUAAGUGAAAUGGAGCAUAUGAUUUCCUAGUUAUUCAAGGAAAAGGCUUCUGUUACCCUCUUGUAGUACACUCUUCAAAGUUAGAACAUUUCUGCCUGCAUGAGAAAUGAUUUGCAGUGGUUUCUUUCUGCUCCAACCAUCACAAUGGCAAAUGGUUAGUUUGACUAUUCAUUUUGUGUAUUGUGCAUCUGUUAACUCCUUCCAAAAAAUUCACCAUUUGUAGGUCCCUACAUAAAAUGUAGAAAGCACUGUGUGGGACAAAUUUCGUAAUUCAAUCUUAUCAAAAGGAUUGAAAUUAACAUUUAUAGCUUGUGUGAGUAAAGCUGCAUAGCAACUUGAGAAUUGCUUGGAAGAAUUACACCCAUGAUCUUAAAUCUAAUUCCUUAUCUCCUUUCUUGUAAAUCUUGUCCAACAUCCUCUAGGAUAAUUAUUUUUUCAAGUUCCUUGUGUCUAGUAAUGUAAUUUUAGAACAGUUAUCUCUGAAGUAGAGUGGCUAGCAAGUAUGAAACUUGACUUGCAUAUACAUUGUAUACUGUUUAUUUCAGUCUUUUGAUUUUGUUUAAUGCAAAAUUAUAUUAGUAUACACGAGUCUCUUUGCAUCUUUUAACGUUUUGUCCUGUUACAGGGUCCAGCCGCCUGAUUCAUCACCUUCAUGCAAAUGGAAUACCAAUUUGUGUUGCUACAGGGUAUGACAUCUUCUUUUGGUUUUGUUCUUUAGAAAGUUUAAUGUUGGUGGCGCAAUUAGUAUAGCAAGUAGACGUUAGAUUCUGCAUAAGCUAAAAUAAUGUUUAAGAAGUAAGAUGCAAUAAGUGAACUAAUAUAAAUGCAUUUUCAGUACACACACACGGCAUUUUGACUUGAAAACUCAAAGACAUGGUGAACUUUUUUCACUGAUGCAUCAUAUCGUUCGCGGUGAUGAUCCAGAAGUUAAACAAGGAAAGCCAUCACCUGAUAUAUUCCUUGCAGCUGCAAACAGAUUUGAGGUAAUUUUCUGAUUAACUUUGAUGUAUUUUUAUUUCUCGAGGACUAUUGUUUUAAAAAAAUAUUGCUUUUCUUGUAGAUUGACAUAACGGAAAAGGGCCAGAUUUGCCCCUCUACCAUAGCAAAUAAGCUAUAUUUACCAUCUGUUUCAGUUUCAUAACAAAGAUACACUUAGUGUUAUACUUUUGAGUUUAUUUUACCCCUUAUCCGUUAAAUCCCUCUUUUAAACUUGAAAAUAACACAUGGCAAGCCCUGAUUGAACUAAAAUAAAUCUGCCCCACUUUUAAGUAUUAAUUAGAGGGAAAAGGUCCAAAUUUAUCCCUCUACUUUCGGAUAUUGUCUACAUUUAACCUCCGUUAUACUAUUCGGCCAAAUUUACCCCUACCGUUAUACUAUUCUGCCAAAUUUACCCUUACCAUGUGUAAGCUUUUAAAAAUUACCCCUCAGUCCAUUAAGUAACCCAAAAUCUCCCAAAUCGCUUUUGUUUAAAUCACUUGGUCUUCAUCUUGAUCCACUAAAGGGCAGCCCGGUGCACUAAGCUCCCGCUAUGUGCGGGAUCCGGGGAAGGGACCGGACCACACGGGUCUAUUGUACGCAGCCUUACCCUGCAUUUCUGCAAGAGGCUGUUUCCAUGGCUUGAACCCGUGACCUCCUGGUCACAUGGCAACAACUUUACCAGUUACGCCAAGGCUCCCCUUCUUCAUCUUGAUCCAUUAUUUUCAGAAAUACUAUUAAUGUGAAUGCUAAAGGUAUCCAACUAUAAAAAUUAUUUAUGGAUAUUUUUAAUUACCAUCGCACCUACUUUUGGAAUUGAUUUAAAAUUUUUAUAAUUUUUCAACCAUAAACACAACAAAUUUCUAUGGGUCCAUUAUUAUGUAUUAUGUGCGACUGCUCAUCAUGUAUGUACAUGUAUAUACGGAUAUAUUUUGUAAUUGUCUAGUUAGUAUAGAGUUCGGUCGAUUAACUUUAGAGUGCACAAUGCGUAGGCAUUUGAUUAAAGCAAAGUUGAAUUCGGCAAUGCAAAAUUUCCAUGGAACUUCAACUUCUAUCACUAAUACUUGCAAAGUCUUCGUACCUUUGGUGGAACAAAUUCAUUAAAGCUGGGUGUUGUAAAUACUUUUGAAAUUUAGACAAGCUACCUAAUUUAGAUUCUUCAAUUUACUAUACUUUGUUUACUAACCGCUGCAUUAUUUUAAUAUUUCUUUCUCGUAUUUCUUUUUUCCAAUUAAGAAAGCAGGUAAAUGCCAACUAUUUUGAAAAUAGUGGAUCAAGAAGAAUAAGUGACUUAACUAAAAUGAUUUGGAAGAUUCUGGGUCGCCUGAUGGACUGAGGAGUAAUUUUAAAAGUUUGUUGAUAGUAGGGGUAAAUUUGGCCAGAUAGUAUAAUGGAGGUUAAAUGUAACAAUAUUCAAAAGUAGAGGGGUAAAUUUGAACCUAUUCCCUUAAUUAAAUCCAAACCGACCCAACUUAUUUACCUACCCAUCUGAACCCCCCUAAAUCCUCUCAUUCCCUCAUUCUCAGUCUAAAUAGACCAACCCUCAAUCAGGGCCCGCGGAAGGGAAUUGCAGGCAUCAACCAUCAAAUUAUUAUGUGACAUGUCAAAGAGUAGCAACAUUCGUUCCUUCAUUGCACCUUCGGAGUUGUUUCCCAAGUUGGUUCCUUUUCUUGAGGAUAGAGCUCUUGAAAGAGAUUGUGUUAUUAUUUUGCAAAACUUAUGCAUCAAUGAAGAUGCUAGAAUUGCGAUAGCUGAAACUGAUGGAUGCAUUGCCUCACUUGUGAAACUUUUCUAAUGUUACAAUCGCAAUGACCAGGAGCAUGCAGCGGUUUUUCUUCUUUCUUUAUGCUCUCAAAAGGUUCAAUAUUGUCAACUAGUGAUGGAUGAAUGAGUCAUCCCUGAACUUGUCACUAUACCUAUUAAUGGAAACAACAAAGCAAAGGCAAUGACUUUGGAGUUGCUAAGAGUGCUGAGGGGUGAAGGCACAAAAUGAGAGAAUGAGGGCAUUUAGGGGGAUUCGAAUGGGUGGGUAAAUAAGCUGGGUCGGGUUGGGUUUAAUUAAAAGUGGAGCGUAUUAUUUUAGUUCAAUCAGGGCUUGCCACAUGUUAUUUUCAAGUUUAGAAGAGGGAUUCAACGGAUAAGGGGUAAAAUAAACUCAAAAGUAUAACAAGUGUAUCAUUAUGAAACUGAAACGGAGGGUAUAGCUUAUUUUCGAUAGUAGAGGGGCAAAUGUGGCCCUUUUCCAUUGACAUAAUCUGAGAGAUCUCAUAGUUAUGAUACUAAUCUUUGCUCUGGGUCAAUCUUGUAGUACACAAACCUUGUCUAAUCGAUAAUUUACCUACUAAACUUUUCAAAUGUACGUGUUACUGUUGGCUUAGUUCUUAUAUCAAGCUUCAUCAUAAUCUAAUUCUUUCGAGAUUUAAAUUUUACUCUGUAAUCUAUUCGCAAGGACACAAUGAUCAACACAUUAUCAUCUUUAAUUGCUAGCUCCUAACUAAAAAUGUAAAGACUAUAAUUUAUCUUAGGAUGUAGCUUUGUGACAAAUUAUCUCCAUCACUUUUAGGGUAUUUGUGAGAAAGCGCAAGAGAAAAUAUUAUUGAUAUUCUAUCAAGUGUUUUACAAUAGCUCUAUUUAUAACUAUACACAAUACAAUAUUUUUACUUCUAUUCCAUAGGGGACUAGGACUAUAUACAUUGCUAUUAUAAUACACUCUCUCAAGCCGGUGCAUCCACAUCAUAUGUAUCGAGCUUGUUACAUAUGUAACUAAUACGAGGACUGGUGAGAGACUUGAUGAAAAUAUCUACAAGCUGAUUAUUCGACUUCACAAACUUUGUAGCAAUAUCUCAAAGAGUGUCUUUUCUAUGACGAAGUGACAGUCAACCUCAAUGUAUUUAGUUCUCUCAUGGAAUACUAGAUUUGAUGCAAUAUGAAGGACAACUCGAUUAUCAGUUUAUCACACACAAGUUCCAUGUGGCCGAUCUCACGAAAUUUCAACUCCUGGAGCAACUGUUUGAUCCAAACUAGCUCACAUGUUGCCAUAGCCAUUGCUUGAUCUUCUGCUUCCGCACUAGACCGAGCAACCACGUUCUGUUUCUUGAUCUUCCAAAACACCAAAUUUACCUCCUACUAAAAAACAAUAUCCAUGCGUAGAACGUCUAUCAUAAGGUAAUCCUGCCCAAUCAGCAUUUGAAUAUCCAACGAUCUGCUCGUGGCCUCGAUUCUCAAACAAUAAUACUUUGGCUGGUGCUGAUUUUAUAUACCAAAGAAUGCAGACAAUUACAUACCAAUGACUAUCACAGUGAGAAUCCAUAAACUGACUUACAACACUCACAGGAACAGAAAUGUCAGGUCUGGUCAGUGUGAGGUAGUUUAAUUUACCAACCAGAUGCCUUGUAUGAUCGCUAAAUGGCUCCCCUUGUCCUGGCAAAAGUUUAGAAUUCGGCCUGUCUCCUCAAGAAUAUCUAAGGCAUAUUUCCGUCGCGAGAUCGCACUACUUGAGCUAGACCGAGCGACCUCAAUACCCAGAAAGUAGUUUAAUCUGCCCAGAUCCUUAGUUUGAAAGUGCUGAAAGAGAUGUUGCUUCAACUUAGUAGUAUCAUCCUGAUCAUUGCCGGUAAUACCAAUAUUGUCAAUAUAAACCACCAUAUAAAUAUAGAGAUUUGAAGCAGAAUGCCGAUAAAACAUAGAGUGAUCAGCUUCACUAAGAGUCAUACCAAACUCCUGAAUAACUGUGCUGAACUUACCAAACCAGGCUCGAGGAGACUAUUUUAGACCAUAGAGUGAAUGACGCAACCGACAUACAAGGCUACUAGACUCCCCCUUAGCAACAAAACCAGGUGGUUGCUCCAUAUAAACUUCAUCCCCAAGGUCAGCAUGAAGAAAAACAUUCUUAAUGUCCAACUGAUAAAGAGGCCAAUGACGAACAACAACCAUGGAUAUAAAAAGGCGGACUGAUACUAUUUUAUCCACGGGAGAGAAAGUAUCAUUGUAAUCGGCCUAAAUAUUUGAGUAUACCCUUUGACAACAAGACGUGCCUUAAGUCGAUCAACACUGGCCAUCUGGACCAACUUUGACUGCAUAUACCCAACUAUAACCAACAGUAGAUUUACCUGAAGGAAGAGGAACAAGUUCCCAAGUACUACUCGUAUAUGAAACAGGCAUCUCGUUAAUCAUAGCUUGUCGCCAUCGUGGAUGAGAUAGUGCUUCACCUGUAGACUUUGGGAUGGAAACAGAGGACAAAGACGAUUCAAACGCAUAACGGGGUGAUGAAAGACGAUGAUAACUUAAACCGAUAUAUUGGGGAUUAAGAUUAAAUGUGGAACGUGUACCUUUUCGAAGUGCAAUCGAUGGACUAGGAGGAGACACGUCCGAGUAGGAGCAGGGUAAGGUGCAGGACAUGAAUCAGCAGGGCGUGAUUUUGGACGAGGAUGACGGUGAUAAGUCAAAAGUGGUGUUCUUGCAACUGGGGAUAUUGGAGGAGCAACAGUAGAGUCCUUAAAAGUCGGUAUGGGUAAGACUUUAGCGGCUGGGGAUAUUGGAGAAGCAAUAUUAGACUACUCAAAAGUAGGUAUAGGUAAGACCUCAGAUAUAUCAAUACGAUCAGAAGAGGUAAAGAAAGGAUGAGACUCAGAAAAUGUGACAUCAGCUGACAUAAGGUACCUAUGAAGAUUAGUUAAGUAGCAACGAUAUCUUUGUGAACAUGGGAAUAACCAAGGAAGACACAUUUGAGAGCACGAGGAGCUAACUUAUCUUUCUCAAGGGCUAAGUUAUGAACGAAAUAUGUGCUCCCAAAAACACGAGGGGAAGAGAGUAUAAAGGUGACUUGGGGAACAAUACAGAAUACAGGACUUGCUUCUGAAUAGGAGAUGAAGACAUCCGAUUAAUCAAGUAACAAGCUUUGAGAACUGCACGUCCCAAAAAUGCAACGGAACAUAGGACUGGAUGAGAAGUGUGCGAGCAGUCUCAAUCUAAGUUGCUCGAACACGGGUGCGGAUGUCCGAUACGGGUACGGAUCUAGAGGUCGGAUUAUUCGAGAUGUAAAUUCUAAGAUUCGGGGAUACAGAUCCUAGUACGGAUACGGGUGCAAGGAUUCGGCUAAAAAUAAUUCAAAUAUAAAAAAAGGCUCUAAAUUAUAAGAAAUUAUGUGAAAUACUUAAGUACAGAUUGUAAAGUUUGGAUUCCUUUUUUUUUCUUAUGUUGUAGAUAAGUAAAGGAUUGAUUUCUUAGAUAACGUACGCUAUUUUCUUCAACUUUACCCCAAUUAUUAGGAUUUUGAUUUCGGGAACCAAAUUGUAUCGCAUCUCGAAUUUUCCGUCCGUCGUGGUCAAAGUAACCGAAAUUGUUUGAUCAGAUCCGGUAUGGAUCCCAUACCCACACCCAUACUAGUGUCGUGUCGACACGAGUACGGUACCUAAACCGCCAUGUCGGAGCAACUUAGGUCUCAAUGAGGUUCCUAUUCUUUCUCUCUGCAACCCCAUUCUGCUGAGGAGUAUAAGGACAAGAUGUCUGAUGAAAAAUUCCUUGAGAUGUCAUAAAUUGCUGAAACUGAGAGGGCAAAUACUCGAAGGCAUUGUAUCUGCGAGCAUACUAGCCUGUUUGGCCAAGCUUAAAAAAUCAGCUUAUUUUUAGAAGCGUUUUUUUUCUAAAGUACUUUUCUCAAAAGUACUUUUGAUGAAAAUCAGUUUGUGUUGGGUUAAUUGAUUUGAAAAGCAUUUCUGAGCAGCAAUUAGUGUUUGACCAACAACAACAACAUACCUAGUAUUAUCCCACACCGUGGGGUUUGGGGAUGGUAGUGUGUACGCAGACCUUACCCUUACCUAGUGUUUGACCAAGCUUUAAAAAAGUACUUCUAAGUGUAUUUUUCUAAAAAAAUAUUUUUCAAAAAAGUACUUUUAGACAGAAGCUAUUUUUUUCUGCUUCUCCAAUAUUGUUUUUAUUUCUAUCCAAAAGCAUUUUUUUUUCGUUCUAAAAGCUUGGCCAAGCACUUAACUUUGAAAAAAAAAGGCUAUUCAUGUAGAAGAAGAUUCUCUUAUGUGAAUAUAAGUUUCUCUAAAGUUAUCUUUGAUCAAAAUGAUUAUUGAAAAGUCAACAUCGAAAAACUUUUGGAUAGAUGGAGUAUCUAAAAGGAGCAAAAAAUGGGCCCCAUUAUGGUAUAGUAUGUUCAUAUAGUUCUCUUUUUAGGAAGUCCACUAUUUUGGGAUGAACUAAAAUUAGAAGGUGGGGUGCUCAAUUUGAAGCAGAAAGAGUACAACAUCUAAAAGAUUCAUGAUGGAAACUAGGACAUUUGACUACAAAAAAGCAACUUUAAUUUGUUCCCAGGAUUAGACAAAAGACUACUUUUUUUGAUUGUACAAGGUUUCAUGGAAUAAAAAAUGUAAAUUAACACCGAUUUGGUCACCAACGCUGAGGUAGUUAGAUUUAAUUAGUAAAACUAGAUUUGAGUCCUUCAGAGUUCAGAUAAUGGAAAGUUAGAAGUAUGGUCGGUAUAAUUAAAGUAUGAUAUAUCAUGGAUGCCUAUGAGCUGUAUAUUUAAAGUUUAACAUGGACAGGGUGGACCAGUAGAUCCACAGAGGAUUCUUGUAUUUGAAGAUGCGCCCUCAGGUGUCCUUGCAGCCAAGAAUGCUGGAAUGUAAGCCUAUCACCCAGAACUUUAAUGUUUGCUGAUAUGUUUUUCAUUUUCUUCAGAUAGCUUGAGAGAGCUAUGCGAUUGCUUUUCAGUUAAGUGCUUCAAUUAAAAUUAAACUUCAUUGCACUUCUUCUUUCAUGGUUUAAGGAGUUUACUGAUACUAACCCCCAUGCACUUCCCAUUAAAUGUUUGCACAAGUGCAUUUUUUAUAUUGUCUUAUGUAUUUUUGCCUUAGUAGCUUUUACUAGGAUAGUUUUUCCAUUCGACAAUAGUCUUAUGUGCUUGAGAUCCUGUAUAAAAGGUCUCACGACGCAACUCCCACCGGAGUCGCAACGACGCCUAACACUACUUGCUACGCAAGCCAACAGUCACACAAACACAACGAAUUUGGAGAAACAUGGUUUUAUAAGCUCAAUAAUGGAAAUAUCAUGAAAUAUCUGAUGAAAACAACCACAAUACUGCUACAACCAUCCCAAAUAUCAGGUGUCAACGAGUACCUGAGCACUACUGAGUAUCAAAAUACAUGGCCAAAUUCUCAAUACAACUGUCUGAAUAGUAGAACAAUAAUAUAAGAAAUAAUGAAAGAGAACUACCUCGUAGUCUCCCAAAAGCUGGUAGCAACAUAACACUAGAGAUCACCUCGCCCGGAAGUACCUGAAUUUGCACACGAAGUGCAGAAUGUAGUAUGAGUACAACCGACCCUAUGUACGCAAUAAGUAACAACACUAACCUUGGGCUGAAAGCAGUGACGAGCUCAGAAACAACAGCCAGAUACCAAUAUCAAUAAUCAACAAUAGUUCAGAAUAUAAAGGAAGCAGUAGAAGCGGGUAACUCAAUGAUAUUAUGUUCAGCUUGUUCACAUUUUAGAAAUUUAGGCAUGCUUUCCAAGUAAAACAGUUUAAGCCCAACGCGGAUAAGAUCUUCAUUUACCAGCUAGCAUGAGACAGGUACAUCUCUAUGCUUACAUGUUAAAUAUACAUGUCAAAACAAUAAUAUUUUAGUGAAACCAUUAUGAUUAACCAUACAUCAACACUUAGCACGGUACGGGUGCAUGGCAUAGCUGCCUACCAUCAAGCACGUAUAUAAAACACUGUCCUGCGCUCACUGCUGGCAUGUCAGACUCCGGAGAGGCGGAUCUUGCCUAAGUGCUAAUCUCAAUCAUAUAGCCCAAUAGUGAGGCCUAGUGCACGCGUCGCCCCAACUCAUUAACACGUAGCUCAAUAUGAGCCUGGCGUACGCGUCACCUCAAAAUCAAUACCAACCGGCUCUAUGGCCCAAGCCCAGUCAUCAAUUGGUUAAGUCUCACUUCACCACAUCUCACAGUAUUCAAUUCAACAAUGUUACACUUGAGGCAUCAACAACACGUAAGGAAUCAAAUAAGAAAGUACUGAGAUAAUAUAUCAUAUACGGUAUAGCAUCAUGACUAAGAGCAUGUGUACAAUUAAUGCAAAUAACUCAGAAACAACAAGAAUAGCCCUAUCGGGUUUCAAACAAAUAGCACAUAGUCUAGACAUGAUUUCCAACAUAAAUCAGAACUCAAAUGAUCAUACAGGUUUAGAAACAUGGAUAGGACGAGGCACGAUAGCAAACCAAUCCCAUAAUAGUCUAAAAGCCACCUCAAAUCAUGAACACACCGGUGCACGUACACACGCCCGUCACCUAGCGCGUACAUCACCCCAAUACCUUUCAUAUAACAUAGUUCCCAUGGUUAAAUACCUUCAAAUCCAAGUUUAGAUAUGUUACAUACCUCAAAACGCAGGACUCAAUACUCCAAAAAGCCCUUCCCACGCGAAUCGUCCUCCGAACGACUUGAAUCUAGUCACAAAUAGCUUAAUAUCAUCAAAUAAUGCCGUAGGAAACAACUUCGAACAAUAAAGUUUCGAUCUUUGUCAAAAUCAAAAAGUCAACCCCAGGCCCACACCCCGGAACCUGGUCAAACUUACAAGUUCUGAACACCCAUUCAAUUACAAGUUCAAUCAUACUAAAUUCAUCCAAUUCCGACCUUAAAUCGACCUUCAAAUCCUUAUUUUAUACUUUAGGAAAGCUUUUACUAAAAUUCCCAAUUUCUUCACUUUAAAUCACCAAUUAAAUGCUAAAAACAAAAAUGGAAUCAUGAAAUAAUAACAAAUCCGAGUCAAAAAUACUUACCUCAAUCCAAAUCGUGAAAAUCCCCUCCAAAAUAGCUCAAAGUCGAGUUCUCUAACCCAAAAUGAGAUAUAAUAACCAAACCUUCGAAAUAAAGUAUUUAAAACAUUCUUCCUAGGCAUACCCUUCGCGAUCGUGGCCACAUCUUCGCGAUCGCGAAGAACAAACUUCCAGCUUCUCAAAAGACCCUACGCGAACACGAGGCCAAGGACGCGAACACGAAGCACUACACACCCUGACACUAUGUGAACACGGGCAUAGCUUUGCGACCGCGAAGGCUUACAGCCAAAUGCCCCCAGUCGGCGUACCUUUUAUGCGAACACGGUGACCGUAACGCGAUUGUGAAGGCCACUGCAUACCAAACUAUCGCAAAAGCGAUUACCACUUUGCGAACGUGAAGAACAACCCGCCUGCCUUCCAAAAAUAUACUAUGCGAUCGCGACAGUCCCUUCGCGAUUGCGAAGAAGAAAGCCAGACAUCAGGAUCAUCUAGCCAGAACAUGGAGAAAUGGUCCGAAACUCAUUUGAAACACACGCAAGACCACCGAGACACCAUCCUAACAUACCACCAAGUCUUAAAACACAAUACGAACUUACUCGAAGCCUCAAAUCACAUCAAACAACACGAAAAUCACGAAUCGUACCUCAAUUCAAGUCUAAUGAAAUUAAUGAACUUUGAACAUCCAAAACUCAUGCUGAACCAUAUCAAAUCAACUCCGAAUUACCUCAAAUUUUGCAUGCAAGUCCUAAAUGACACAGCGGACCUAUUCCAACUCUCGGAACCAAAAUCCGAACCCGAUAUCAACAAAGUCAACUCCCGGUCAAACUUCUCAAUCUUCCAAACCUUCAACUUUCCAACUUUAGCCAAAAAAACACCAAAUCAACCUACGGACAUCCAAAUCAACAUCCGGACAUACAUCUUAUUCCAAAAUCACCAUACGAAGCUGUUGGAAUAAUCAAUAAUGAAAAUACCAUUUCGGAGUUGUCUACACAAAAGUCAAACUCCGGUCAACUCUUUCCACUUAAGCUUCCAACCUUGGAAUUAAGUGUCCCAAUUCACUCCAACACUUCCCGAAACCAAACCAAGCACCCCAACAAGUCACAUAACCACAAAAGAACAUAGAAGAGGCAAUAAAUAGGGGAAUGGGGCUACAACACACAAAACGACCGGCCAGGUCGUUACAAAAGGUUACAUUGAUUGAUUUUAUGAGCAUGGUCACUCGUCUAAAUAUAUAUCUCAAUAAUUUGGCACUAAGAUUAUGUUUAGUUGAUUAACUCAUAGAUGGUGUAAAUCUCUUGAUGAUAACACUAGUUAAAAUUAGGUAACAAUAUGAUUUUGGUAUGGCUCUCCAUGUCUGAGCUACGUGCUCAGUAUAGCAAAUAAGGUUACCUUUUAUAUAUCUUUCGAUUGCACUGAUGACACUUGUUUCCAUCUAGCUGCUAGUUUUUGUCUAUUCUCCUCUUUCUGGAUGUCUGACAAGUCAAUUUACUUGGUCUCCAAGCCUUCUUUUUUCAGGAUCUUGCUUUUUUCUUCCUCCUAUUGUGAAUUUUAUCUUGACUUUCAAGAAACUCUCUGAACCUAUCAUGUUUGUCGAUGCUUCCUCGUGUUAUAAUUUUGUUUUCUGAUUUAAAUUCUUUUCCUGCCCCUUUAGGGUCAUCGGAUAAGCAAAAAGAUUUAUAUUAUUUUUCCACCCUCAACUGCCUCAGUUGUUUGCUGCUUUACCAGAACCCUGAAAUUUCCUCUGACACCCACGCAAACUCCAGUGUUUUACCCAUGAUGGAUAGACAGCAGUCCUUGUUUGCGUCCUUAAAUAUACAGACACAAAUAUCUUGCUUAUAGUGAUCACCAGAGUCCUUGUAACAUGGUUCUUUUUUGGCGUUUUCUGGUUUUUGUCUUUUCAAAUUAGUUUCUACUGUUUUAUCCAUUAUAAGGCUAUCUUUUUUUUUUCUUGUUUUAAUUUGAUAUAUUCAGAUGCUUUCAGUGUGGAGUGUUAGCCAUUUUCAUAUUUUUUGAACUUUCUCACCUUUGUUUCCUACUAUUAUUAUUGUUGAGUUCCCACAUUGGUGGAAUGAAGGUUUCAUGGUCUCUUUAUAUGGUAUUGGGUAAUUCUCGCCACCUGAGCUAACUUUCGGGGUUGAGUUAGGUCCAAGGUCCAAUUCUUUCACAUGGUAUCAGAGCCAGGCUUGCCCAAUUCUUGUUUCAUCCGAUUUGGGGUGAGUUAUGCUCAAGGUCCAUUUCUUUCACAAUAUGUUUUUGGGUUCUAAGAGGCAUGUAGCAUGCUUUAACUACUAAAAUUCCUGAAGUUCUCUUUGUUGAUGAGAUUUUUUUCCUGGUAGAUGCAACGUAUGCCAAGCGAGUCCUGAAGUUGCAUUUUAAUUUUCGUUGAUGUAGAAGAUUACUGUUUAGAAACCAGAAACGAAAGGGAAGAUGGAAAUAAGAGAUAAUAUGGAAGAAAUUCGGUCUCUUAAAUUGGUUCAGUUAUUGUUUGAAAUUUUGAAUGGGAAGUAAAUGUGAACAAAUUUCCUUUGCAGAUUUUCCUUUACAACCCUAAAAAUGAGAUGUGCUCAAGUUCCUUUCGCUUUAAUUUUGCUUUUAUUUUUGCUCCUUAGCUCUUCCAUCCUUCCUUUUGUGAAAAAGGUUAUGAUAUAGUUACCUUCUGCCAGCUUACCAUGUUUUUUUCCAGCAAAAAUAUGGUGAAGCAUAAGGAAAAAGAAAAGAAGAAAAGAAACUUUUCUCGAUGAAGAUGCAAAAAGAGGGGCAGUUAUUUGCUAUAUUUAUCCUUAUUUUUCAUUCUUACUAACAAUGAAAUUCAAUUCUGUGUUUGUACAACAAAGCAAAAUGCUCCUGCAUCUUUUCAUUCUGAUGCAUACCCAUGAAUUCAUUGAAGAUAUCUUGUAUGCCUCUCUUGCAUCUUUAGAUGAAGUCACUGAUCUUGCUCUUAUCUCCAUAGCACGUUUUUGUCUACUUUGUUCCUAUUUUUUGCCUUGAUGUUAUAGAAAUGUGUCAUAAAAGUUCUGCUCAUGGUCAGGGUAUCAUCAUCUACUGACGUGGGUUUUAUGCACUGCAUGCAGGUCAGUGGUUAUGGUUCCAGAUGCAAGGUUGGACAGUUCAUAUCAUGAAGUUGCUGAUCAGGUUUUGAGUUCUUUACUUGAUUUCAACCCAGCAGAUUGGGGGUUGCCUCCAUUUGAAAAUUCAUCAACCAAACUAGAUUAGAAAACUCGAUUCGUUUAUUUUGAUCAUGAUCCUAAAGUUCCCAAACCGAGCCAUAUUAUGAGUUCAAAACUCAAAGUUUGGGGUUCGCCUCCAGUUUCUAAUUACUUGACUCAUUAUUUUAGAUACUGAAGAUCCAUUUCUGUUAAAAUGAAGAAAUUGAAGAUUUGUUGUAUUUCACCUCAUGCAUGUGUCCAUAAUUUUUUUUUCUUUGAUAUCGGCAAACCCCAUUUCCCCACCCACAUCAGCCAAGUGGCCAUUUUCCACUUUGUUCCCUUGGUGGAAGGAACUUCCUACACUUUCUUGAAGGUGUAGGGCUCAUAUUAAAUGCACUUGUCCUUCCAACAUAUGUUAUACUUGUUUUUUUCCUUCUCAUAAUCGUGGUGUCCAGGAAAUUUGAGCUCAUCUCGACUUAUUUUAUCGUGUAUCUAGUACCUCCUACCAGCACAAGUAUCGAAUAACUUUAUCUAUAAUAGCUUGGACAUUAUAUGAGGAAAAAUCACCAAACAUUUUUACUUUUGGUGAGAUUUGAAACUAAGACCACAUGGUUCUCAACCCAUUUCAUUGACCAUUAUGUUACACCCUUCGGUGCCACAUGUUUUAGUUGUUUAAGAUGUAGCGACAUUUCUUGGUGCAACUGAAAAACGUGAAUUUCUGUGUGAUUAACAUAGCUAAGUUGUAGAUUAGAGAGGUCCGCACUUUCUUUUAGUCUUUAUUGAACUUAAUAAUAAUAAUAUGCUUUCACAUGCAAGCUUAAAGAAUAAAAGUGGUACAUAUUAUAUUAAAUACACUGGUCCUUUCAUUACCAUAUAAACUGUUGCUGUGAUGAAAUCUUCAUUUCUCACAUUUGUUUUCCACGGUUUUUUAUUACUUAAUAUAGCUAAUAAUUUUAUCGGUGGUGAAUGGUGAUAUAUCCACUGAAGCUUGGAAAAAUAUUUUUUUAUUGUCUUGGGAAAACUCAUUUUUCAUCCACUAAGUUGGUCAGAAAUAGUCUAGUCAACUUGUCUAAGAAUUUGAAGUUUUAAAAUGCGUUAAAUGUUCAAGACAAUAUAAUUCAACAUAAACGCAUUGUAAAAAAGUUAUGAUGCUAUACAAUAUGUUAGCAUUACAAUCUUCUUCAGCUUUUUCAAGAAACAAAACUAUUGGUUUCAAUUGGUAACGAAAAGAUCUAGUUUACUAUUCAUUACCUGUUUGUUUCAAUAGGCAACGAAACGAAAGAAAUCAUAAUACAAGAAAAGAAAGGAGUGAGAGCAAGUUAGAAGAGUUCUUUUCAAUAGUGAAUUUAUUUUGUUCGUCUUAGUUUGGAACUGUUGAUCCUUGCCAGAGUAAUAGAAUUUCAAACUUUUUGUACCUGGUGUGUCCUAUCAUUCUUGGCUAAAGAACAGUUACUGCUCAAUUAAUGCUUGCCUUUCUACUAUAAAAAGUUUAGAAAAUAAUGGAACGAGAUUUGCUGUAAUUUGCAUUUGUCCUUCUAAUGUUUCUCAAAAUGUGAUGAUUGUAUAAAACCAAAGUUGACAAAGUUGAUAUUUUUUUUUUAUAUAAAGUUCUAUACAAAUUUAAAUUGUACUUCACAAGUAACGUCCAACAAGUUUAUAAAUGCGAUUGUCAAAUAUCCAGCUAUGCUUUAUGAAAAUCUGUUCGAUCACCAAAAACCAUUGGUUUAAAUUACCAAAAACAUCUUAAAUUUAACUCAAAAAGCAUGUCACAUCAUUUUGUAUUUCUUAUAACUUCUUUAGGUUACAUAAAAAGCUUUCAGAAAGAAAAAAAAAAAAACAAGAAAUACGUUCAUUUGUACACAUUUCUAUAUUUGGUAUUGCAACUAAAGCUUUAUAUUUAACCACCUUUACCACGAAAGUAAAAGGGACUACCAUGACAAACCUACUUCACCUCCUUUAUGCUCCACCGCCAGGUCAAGCCUAUCAGAUGUAUAGAAACUAAAUCCAAAUAAUUUCUGAGCUGAUCAAUGAUUUAAGUCAAUAAUGUUGUUCCUUACAAGUGCAAGUAGAAACAUCUUGGAUGUGUUUGGUACGGAGAAAAAUAUUUACCAACAAUAAUAAUAAUAACAUGCCCAGUAUAAUCCUAUAUAGUGGAAUCUGGGGAGGGUAGUGUAUACACAGACCUUACUUCUAUCUUGUGGAGAUGGAGAGACUGUUUCUAUGGAAAUAUUUAUCAUGAAAAAUAUUUUGCUACUGCUUAUUUUUGGUGUUUGGUUAGUAAGCAUGAAAUAUUAUCCCAAGAGCAUUUAUGUAUAAUUUAGACAAGCGCUUUGGGGACGGCGUGAGUAGGUUCGAAGAACCCCGACGCUAACACUGACCACUAUGCUGACCCCGACCUCGACCCUAACCCCGAUUCCUGACUCCAAACUCGAUGCCUGACUCCUAACUCAAUCCAACCGCGACUGUCAAACCCAACCCAACCCCAACCCUAACCCCUGACCCUCGACUCUCGAACCCGAACUUGAACCCGGCCUAACCUUGACUCUUGACUUAGAUCCUCGGCCUCAAUUCCGACCUUGACCCACGACCAUCGGCCUCCAAUCUCCGAUCCCAAUCUCGACCCUGACCCUUGAUCGUUCCCAACCCUUGGUCCGACCUGACCCUAAUAGCGACCCUUAACCUAACCCCCACUUCCCAACCUUUAGUGGUUACGGUUGGGUUUGAUGUUGAGGUUCGACUUGGGGGAUUAGGGGUGAGGGUCGGGUAAGUUUUGAGAUUAGGGACGGGGUCGGGGUCGGGAUUGAGGGUUAAGGGUUAGAGUCGAGGAUUAGGGGUCAUGGUCGGGGUUGGGUCACGAAUCGAGGUAAGAGGCCGUGAUUGGGGUCGGGUGUCGAGGUCGAGGUUGGAUUAGGAGUAGAUCAGUACGAUUAGGCAUGGUGGAUAUGGGGUCGGGGUAGGAGUUAUGAUCGAAUUGGUGGAGUAUCAAGGGUAGUCGUGGUGGAGGGGUGGUAGGAAGUGGUGGGAUGGAGGGGUUGGGUUGUCUGGUGGCACGAGGUGGAGAGGGGAUGGGGAGGAGGGUGGGCUAUGAUUAAGUUGUGGGGGUGGCAAGGUGGGUUGGGUGAGAUGAUGUUGGUUGAAGGAGGGUUUGCAAUAUGGUUGGAGAGUUUCGAAAAAUAUUUUUUCAACUUUUUCUAGGGGGAUCAUUUUCCUAUAAUUAGAGGAAAAUGAGUUCUUAAGUUCUUUUUUAAAUAUUUAAGCCAAUCAAAUAUAAAAAAAUUGGAGAAUAUUUUCUUCCAUACCAAACACAGGCCUUAUGGGUUUAUUUUCCUAGAUCUAAACGUAAUUGACCGUUAUAGAUAUGCAGUGGUGGAGGUAUACUAUUCUAAGGGAUGUCAUAUGCCACCACUUCGAAGAAUUUUCUUUAAAAUGUGAGUAUAAAUAAUAUUUUUUAAGUGGUACUCUAUUCAUUUCAAUUUAUGUAUAUUACUUUCCUUUUUAAUAUGUUUCAAAAAGAAUGCCUCAUUUUAUAUUUAAUAACUCUUUAACUCCGCCUUUUUUAUAUGACAUAUUUAAGACCACAAGAAUUAAAGACAUUUUGGUAUGUUGUAUACAUAUUUAGUUAAAGACCACUAGAUUUAAAAGUACUUUCUUACAUUUUUAAACUUUGGGCCCAGCCAAACUAAGACACAUAAAUUGACUUGAGUAUCAAACCUCACUUCUACGUUCGCUUCCUGGGUGUCGCGCCCCGUCUUUCCUCGUGGAGUCUGGGUUUCGACAUUCAUUGGGAACAACUCAUUUCCUUUUGGGAAUUGGGUAUGGAAUUUGAAGAGUCGCCACCUAACGGAUUUAAGGUGCGUUAGGGCACCUAAAGCAAAUAACUCAUAAAACCGGUUUGCGUUAUCAGAAAUUGGGUAAGGGCUUGAAAUAACUUUGAGGGGAAGGUGUUAAGCACUCCUCGAGGUCCACAAUGGUGGGUCCCAGCCAAACUCGAAUUAGGUGAAUUAGUCUUAUAAACAAAUAAAGCAAUUUAGACAAAUGGAUAUUACAUUUAAAAUAAGGAGUAAAGGGGGUCCUAGGUUUUUUAGCCUAUAGGAUCACUUCUAUGCAAUACUUGGUAAUCGUUCCCAAGUUGGGGUGCUACACAUAACAUUAGCGCACAGGUCAUCAUAUCCUUUACUACCCAAUUACCCUUCCCUUAGUGGUCAUUUAAGCGGUUCUAACUAAACGUACUCUAUGCGUGCAUUACCUAUCCCUUACUUAUGGUCCUGGAGGUGUUUAGGACUUCUAGUUAAGGUAGAUCUAGACUCUCCUACAGUAUUUAAAAGGAGAAAAUCUAAGCGACAAGCAAAACAAAUUGGACUGUCAGACAAAGGAACAAUUAAAGGCUCACAUUUUACCUCCACAAAUAGGCAGGCAAUUGCACAUCUCAAACAAUAGUAUUUCUGAUACUUUAGAAGUCCUAUAGCAGGAUAUCUAGGUGGGAACAAAGCAGAACAUAUGCAACAUUUUAUUAAAGCGAGGCAGAAUAUACUUAAUUAGUUGCCUACUAAUUUUAGGACUAGCUGAAUCUGGGCAAUUCACAAACAUAGUUUAUAAUUUCCAGAUUUUAAUCGCCCUAAAGGCUUGCCUAGGCGUGGAUCAGAGAUGUCCUAUGAACAUGAUAUCUAAUCAUCAAUCAGAACCGUAAUAAACUAGUAAACAAUUUUAAGCAGGCAGUUUGGUUCAUUAGGUCUUAUAGACAUGCUGUCUAGGUGUAGAAACGGAUUUUAAACUUUUAGACAUGGUAUCUAGAUGCGGGAACUAAUUUAAACCUUAUAUGCAUGUUGUCUAGAUGUAGAAACUAAUUCAAAACUUAUAGACAUGGUAUUAAAUGAAAAAAUUGGUUUCAAAACCUUAUAAACAUGGUAUCUAAAUGCAGAAAUUGAUUUUAAAAAUCUUAUAGAUAUGCAGAAACUGAAUUAAACCUUAUUUGCAUGGUAUCUAGAAUGCAUGACUGAUUUUAAACUUAUAGAUAUGGUAUCUAAAUGCACAUAAGUAAACAAACAUCGCAACAACCAUAGUUUCUAAUGCAGGAACUGAUUUUAAACUUAUAGGCACGGUAUCUAAAUGCACAUGAGUAAACAAACAUCGCAACAACCUAUAGGCAUAGUUUCUUAAUGCAGGAACUGAUUUCAAACUCUAUAGGCAUGGUAUCUACCCGUUCCCAACAAAAUACAUAUAAGAAUCCCUCCUAGUUUUACUAAUAUCCCCAAUAUCUGUUUACAAAGAAAUUAUUAUUACAAACCAAACAUAAAUAAUGAAUUACAGAAGUGAGGCUGCUAAACUAUAGGGAGCCUGAAUAGGCCCAGACAGUAAACCUGGAAGAACCAGGCCUUCAACCAAGUAUGAACAUGCUAAUAUUCUCAUAGUGCACCCAAUAGUAUCAUGGUGUGUCAAAGUUCCCAAGGGCCUCAGGGACCCCGGGCAAUGCUCAUACCAGAAAAACCUUUAAAGAAACAUUUUGUGAGCAAAUUUUGGAGAGCCAGCCCCAGUGUGUCAAAGUUCAGAGGAGUCUCAUGGACUCGUAGGCAAUGGUCACACUGGAGGGGCAGGACCCUAGAUGUUCUAAGAGUAGGAGUUGAAAACAAGAGAUAGUUUUAAGGAAAUAGUAUUGGGUUUUCAGGAGGUGAGGAGCAAAUAGAGUCAUUCAACACUUAGAAGAAAUUCCAGUAAUCCAACAAUAGACAGAAGCAAGAUCACUUCAAGUAAAGUUUCAACUUAGUUUACUAGUUUUACUAGGCGAGCAUAUGGACAGACACUAAACAAAGAUAUGACAUGCUGGGAUCAAUCAUGCAGUCAUAUACAAAGGGGUAGCAGGGAUUGGGAGAAUGUAAAUUAUUAAUCCGUUAGGGGGUGAACACUUAAAAUAGGAUAUAAAGAACAUGCUAGUGGAGAAGUAAAUAGACAUAGGCCUAAUUUAGAUAUGAGCAAGAAUGCAAACAUGCUGAAAGCAGAAGAACAUAGGUGUAGUUAAAAUAGAAGUAAAGAGGCUGAAAGCAGGACAUACAUAGGUCUAAUUAAACAGAAGUAGACAGGCUGAUUGCAAGGAAAUACAUAGGUUUAAUUGAAUAGCAGUAAACAUGCUGAUUAGGAAAAAUAAACAUAAAGCACAUGGAUCUAAUGAAAUAAAAGCAUACAUGCUGAUAACAGGAAACACAUAGUUUAAUUGAAUAGCAGUAAACAUGCUGAUUAGGAAAACACAUAGGUAUAGUUAAACAACAGAAAAGAUAUACUGAUUAUAAGGAAACACAUAGGUUUAAUUGAGAAGAAGUAGACAUGCUAAUCAAAGCAGUAACAGGAAGAAUACAGAGUUAAACACAGAAGUAGACAUGCUAUUCGAAAUAUAGAAAGACAUGGAUUCAACAGAAGUAAAGCAAUAGGUAAGAGAGCACAUAGGUUCAAGCUUCAUCAUAUAAUGAACAACAUUAGGAAUAGGGGGUAUACCAGUUACAGAUGGUAAACAGAAGGUGAAAGAUGUACAAGACUCAGUGGUCUAACCUUGACUUUCAACCGGCUAGGCAAUGCAAUGAACACAAGUAUCAGAGAGGUUUUGAGAGCAAGGUUUGUGUGUAUGUCUGUGUGUUUUUGAACUAUAUUUGUGUGUUGAAGAAUCAAUAAUGAGAGUAUACAUAGCACUUAGUGAGGUAAAACAAAUAAGGUAAAAAGAAAAUCACAAUUCGUAAAACAAGGGUAAUCAAAUAAAAUCAAUCAGCCAAUUAGAGAAUAAAUUCCUAUAGAGAAAUCCGGAAGAGACCCCUUAAAUUGGGGAGGGUCAAUUAACGGUACAGAACUAGGGUUCAAGUAAGACAAGAAAUCAAUCUCAUAUCAUAUAGGAGUCACUCAAAUCCUCAACCCAUACUAACAGUUUGAUUAAGGCAAAUACAACUAAUCAAGGUCGCAAAUAAGGAAAUAGGUAAAAUCACAGAAAGCACUAAUUUUAAUAGGAAAAUAUGAUUCGAAUCCUAAUAAAAUCAAUCAGCAUAUUGGGUUGACAGAAAUAGACAGACAACGGGAAGAAAAUUGAAGAAAUCAGUGCCAUAAAAGAAUGAGACCUAAGGUUUAAAGAACAUACACAAAAAUUAUCCAAAUGAGUAUAGAAUAAUCAGAUUAAGCAUUUGAAAGAAAGAAAAACUUUUGAAGAAAUCUGGGAUAAAAACCCUAAUUUUAGAGAAGUGCUAAAAUCGGAAUAGUAGUAUCAAAGUAUAGGAUUUUUGAAAAAAAAUAUCAAAUAGCACUUAAAACCUUCCAGAUCUACAAGGAUCUGGACAGACGCAAGUAGUUAUAAGACUAGGGUUUUUUCGAAAAUAGCAGAGAUGAAAGAAGCUCGGUCCAAAACCAUAUAUUCGAACCAAAAAUAGGCAAGGAACACUACUCACAAACGAGAAUGGCCAAAGACAGGCCUGUAAGACAGAUUUCGACAAAAACUCGGUUGAAUCUCUUUUAGAUUCUCUCAUAAAUCAAUGAAGUGAAACAACCAGAAGAUGUAACAGGUUAGAUAGGGUAUCAAAACACCAAAUAACCCCAUAUCUAGUCGGGGAUCGAAGGGGUUUGGGGGAAUUAGGGGAUGACGGCGCUAGGGUUAGGGAUGGUUUCAGAGAGAACAGAGAAGAAAAGGGAUUCAAGGGUGGCGGGUUGUAACAAAUGACUAGGGUUAGGGGGGUCGUUUGGAUUAAAAAUGGAAAGAGUGAAUGUGGACCGUUGAUUUCAGAAAUCAACGGCCACAAUUAGAGGAGUUUUGGGUCGGGUAGGAUUUAAUUGGGCUAAGGUUGAUUUGAAUUGGACUUGGGUGGUCCGAAAUUAAGCUUAAUAAAAAGGGCUAUUUAUUAAAUACCCAAUUAAUUAAUAAAAUAAUUUGUAAAAAAGCUAAUUAAAUGAUAAAAAUGAUUUUUAUAUAUGAAGAUGAUUUAAAAUAAUUAAUUAAUAUUAUAAAAAUAUAAAAAGUUAUUUUUAUAUAGAUAAUGUAAUUAUGCUUAUGUAUGGGCUAUUGUUGUAAAAUAUGCAAUUAUAAUCUUAAAAAUGCAAAUGUAAUUGUAGAAAAUAUAAUUAAAACAUUUAAACACUUAUAAGAGCAUAAAUGAUGAAUUAAGAUGACUAAAUCACUGUAAAGUAAUAUGAGGGAUACUUAUUGAAUAUUUAUAUAAUUAAAAGUGCAGGAAUAAAUUGAUUUAAGAUCUUUAAAAAUUAUAAAAAAAAUUGUAAAACACUUGUGCAUGUUUGUAAAUGCAUGCACAAUAUUUUGAAAGUGUGUAUGCAUAUUUUGAAAUAUAUGAGGGAAAAAUUGGGUAUCAACACUGUCACACCUUCUUUUUUUUAGACCCCGAGAGGGUAUAUGAGAGUUUUUCCAAUUAAAGUAACAUAAAUUGAAAUGGGAUUAAUUAAUUUAUCAGAGUCGCCACUUGGAAUAGUUUAUUUGGUGUUCCAAGUCACCGGUUAUUUUAAAAUCCCAAAUCGAGGAAAUUUUGACUUUAUUUAAAAGCCUGCGAAUCAGAAAUUCUAAGUAAGGAAUCCUGUUAACCCGGGAGAAGGUGUUAGGCAUUCCCGGGUUUCGUGGUUCUAGCACGGUCGCUUAAACUAUUAAAAUUGACCUAUUAUCCGAUUUAUUACGUAUUUUAAACCUAAUGUACAUUUUUAACUUUAUAACCGAUUUUAAUUAAUUUAAAUCGCUUUUAGGAAGAUUCAACGUUAUUUAAAACAUGUCUUGAACCACGCUACAUGAAAUGCACCCGUGGUUCGCGACACGUUCUAUUUAACAUUGUUGAGAAUUGAAAUUGGGCACAUGAAAUGUACACCCGAAUUUAGUAAUUAAAAAUCACAACUACGUCACGGGAACCGUACCCGUAGCUAUGAUAAAUUAUUUAAAGAACGCGCCUAAAGCAACUACGAAGGUUCUGAUUAAUAGCAACAUUUAUGAGGGCCAUGGUGAGUUUAAUUGAUGGCACACCUCAAUUUUUAAAAGGAUUAAACUGUCACGAUCCCAGUUCGCCCUCCAUGAACUAUCACGACGACACCUAGUCUCUACGACUAGGUAAGCCUAACAAAUGCGGAAAAAGGAACUAACUUGCGGAGUAAAUAAUCAAAAACCGAAAAUAACUGAAGGAAAUAAUAUUUAAAUGCCGAUUGACAUAUACACAUAACUUCUCGAAAUCUGAUACACUAUCCCAAAACCCAGAAACUCAAGGAUCCACAAGCUGAGAAAAAAAAUACUACAUAGCUCUAAUCUCCGGAAUGUCUAACAAGAACAAAAGUACAGUAGGGCUAAAUACUAAAAUACAGGAAUAGAAAGAGACUCCUCGGUCUGCGGACGCGGUAGAUAUACCUCGAAGUCCCGUAGAAUCGCCGCGCCUCAAGAAUGGUAAGCCAGAGUAGAGGUACUUGGAUCUGCACAUGAAAAACAUGUGCAGAAAGAGCAUGAGUACACCACAAUGGUACUCAGUAAGUGCUAAGCCUAACCUCGGUCGGGUAGUGAAGAGGAAGGUCAGAGCCCUACUGAGGUUAAUAAAUAAUAAAAUGACAGGAUAAGAUAAGCAGUAAAAUUGAGAAUCUAUAUUAAGAAUCGAUACAGUAUAAUAAGAGUACAAUAACGGAAACAGAGAUAAAGGCAAAUCACAUGGAAAAUAACCGGGGAUCUCUUAGUAUCCCGAGGAUCUCUUGGUAUCCCGAGGAUCUCUUGGUAUCCUCAAUAUAUGCUAGGGAUCUCUUGGUAUCCCGAGUAUCUCUUAGUAUCCUUAAUAUAUGCUAGGGAUCUCUUGGUAUCCCGAGGAUCUCUUGGUAUCCUCAAUAUACGUGCCAGGGAUCUCUUGGUAUCCCGCACCUCAGUUUAGAUAAUAAAUAUGUACAGGGGAUCCCUCGGGAUGCCAUCCCGUAGUCCUUAAGUAAAAACACACAGCAACAACACAAGAAUACCCAAUUAAGCUAAAUUUUGUACCAAGUAAACAGUUAAUUUCUAGCCUAACAUGCUUCACGUAAUGAAAUUAAGACAGUUUAAGCAAAUAGACAAUUAAGUCAAUUAAACAUGCUUUUCUAAACCAGCAACUGGCUAAAUUCACAAGUAGAAUAAAAUAGGAAAAAGAACUCAAUUGAAAUACUUAAGUAAGAAUCGGAUUUUCAACAAUUAGCUCAAGUACGCGCUCGUCACCUUACGUACAAGGCAUUUCAAUUACCAAAUACAUCAAACCUAAGGGGAAGGUCCCCCACACAAGGUUAGACAAGCCACUUACCUCGAACCAGCUCAAAAUCAACCCGACACCACGUCUUUGCCACGAGUACUCGACUCCAAAUGACCCAAAUCUAUUCAAUUCAAUUGCAUAAUGUAAAUAGCACUUCAAGUAACUAAUUCUACAAUUAAAGUCUAUGCUAAUACGCAAAAUUAUGAAAAAUGACCAAAAUGCCCCUCAGGCCCACGUCUCGGAAUCGGGUGAAAUUUUCAUUUUCAGAAACCUCGUACUCUCACGAGUCUAUAUAUAACAAGAACACUGAAAUCGGAGUCCAAAUGACCCCUCAAAUCCUCAUUUAAAGGCCUCUUAAACUCAAGCUCUAAUUACCCAUUUUUUUCCAAAUUUCUCACCACUAAUUAGGUCUUUGAUCACAUAAAACGAGUUAUGAACUCAAGAAUGUUACCUCCAAGUGAUUUCCCUUUGUUUCCCUCGAAAAUCUCCCUCAAAAGCUUCAAACCCGGAUGAAAAUGGUGAAAGAAUAUCUCAAAUUUGCCCAGCGAUUGCCGCAUUUGCGGCCCUGGGACCGCAUCUGCGGAAACUAUGUCGCAUCUGCGACUUUCAUUUUAUUGCCAACUUUUGCAUCUGCGGAACUCUAACUGCAGGAGCGGUUGCGCUUCUGCAAACAUUUCACCGCAUCUGCGGUUCCUGAGGAAUUCCCAAAUUCCGCUUUUGUGGUCUCUACGGCUGCUUCUGCGGCUCCGCAUAUGCGGUCCCCAAACCGCAGAUGCAAAAAUACCAGAAGCAGCAAAAAUACAGCAGCUGCAACAUGUUCCUCAAUUUCUCGUUAACCAUUCGAAAUCACCUCGAGGCCCUCGGGACCUCAACCAAAAGCACAAACAUCACCUAAUACCUUAUUCACACUUGUACCAAUCCUUAAAACACUUAAAACAACAUCGAAACAUCGAAUUAACCAAGGAUUUAAGCCUAAGAACUCAAAAUUUCUUCAAAAUAUGCUUUCGAUCAAAAAGUUUAUCAAACCUCAUCCGAAUGACCUAAAAUUUUGCAUACACGUCACACUAAACACUACGGAGCUACUCCAACUUCCGGAAUUACAUUCCGACCCUGGGAUCAAAAUCUCACUAUAGAACUUUUGGCAUUUCAAGCCUAAAUUAGCUACGAACCUCCAAAACACAAUCUGAACACUCUCCUAACCCCGGAAUCACCCAACUGAGCUAAAAGAACCAUCAGAUUCCAUUUCGAUGCCGUCUUCACACUGUUCCAACUACGACCAACUUUCUAACAUUUAAGCUCUCAUUUAGGGACUACGUGUCCCAAAACUCUCCGAAACUCAAAAUCGAACAUUUUUGGCAAAUCAAAAUAGCAGAAAUAAACUAGUGGAAAGCAGUUAAUAGGGGAUCGAGGCGUUAAUUCUUAAGACGUCCGGCCGGGUCGUUACAUAAAGUCUUGAAUUAAAUUUGUGAGGGCCAUAUAUUAUGGGUUUUAAGCAUGGCACACCUCAAAUUAUUUUAAGAAAAGGGGUAUAUAUUUUAAAGGCAAUCUAAAGGUACUCUUAUUUUUAAUCUAUUUUUAAAACAAGUUAUCACAACUACGUCACGGGAAUCACACCCAUAGUUAUAAUAAUUUAAUUGCGUGCCUAAAGCAAACUACGACGUUCAUAAAUUAUUUAUUUCUAAGUUUGAGAUUAUUGCGAGGCCUAGAAUUGAAAUCAAUUGGUUGAUCUUAGAAAGUAAACCAAGCAUGAAAAUAAUCAGUUUUCUAAAUCACUUAUGAAAGUUCACGAAAUAAACCCAAAAAGGACUUCAAAACCUUGGCUCAAUAGGGUCAUACUAGAUUCUAUUUACCACCCAAAUUAAUCAAGAGAAACAAAACUAUCCAUUUACAGUUUCCGCCUAACAAAAUAAAAUAAGCAACUAAACAUUCAAAGAUGCUUUCCUCCAUCUGAAGAACUCUUUUUAUGUGAUUUUCCUAGCCUAAAGUGUUUUAAACUCUAUAUAUCCUUAUGACAGAGAAGUAGUAUCAAAGUCAAACACACAACAAAAUUAUUGUUGCACUAAUAUGUUUAAAAAGCCAUAUCAGAAAAUGUUCAGGCAUUUGGAUGGUUCACUGUUUUAAGAACAGGAAAUUUCUUUGUCCACAAUGUAAGCAUAUGAGCUCAUUUUAUUCGAAGGACAUUAAAUAAGAAUAUCUAUGUACCUUUAGCUGGAACUGCAAAUUUUAUGUGUCAAAUUUUCACUCAUUUCUCCAAAUAACACCCUUCAAUUUUUCGUAAGCCUCAACAAUACUCAAUAGAAAGGCCUAGCUUUUGAUAUAGCAAUAAGGUGAAAUACCACUUCAAUAUCAAAACUUAUAUAUAAAAUGGACCCAUUUUCCUCUAGUUCACUACGGAACCCAACUAAUAAUCAGCUUAAAGUUUUCAGCAACAAUCCAUCAAUUACUACAAAAAUAUUCUCAAAUCACAAACUAAGUAAGUCUUAAAACGAAACCAAUACAAGCACACAAACAUAUGGACUUCAUGAACAGAACAGAUGUAUAAAAAAUGAUUAAGGAAUCUGAAUUAAAGAACAAAUGAAAUAAAUCUUUCUAUCACAAAAACUAUUUUUUGCAUACUGCUUAUCAAACACUUUUAAUCAAAUGAAACACACACAACUUAGUACUAACAUGUGGGAUUCGUAACCAUUCUUUCAUAGAUGAGCUAAAGAACAACAAUAAUUUCAUAUCAUAAACGGAUCUGAGAACAAUUUUAUGAAGAACAUACCUAUGAGCAAAACAACUGAAAAUAACAAACGAAAUUUUGGGAUGGGAGAAGAAAUUCAGCGACAACAACAAUAGCUCAACAAAUCAACCAACCAAAUCCAAAUUGCAACCAAAGUUCGGACAGAAAUCCAUUGUGCCAAAACUCCAAACCCACUUCAAUCCAAAACCAUUCUUGAAAAACCAGAGAUCGAAGAAAAAUGCUGAGAUUUGUAUUUUUUUUUGAUUUUUCUUUUGAAAGAAAGUAAAACUUGAAUCGACAAUCAACCUCACACUAUACUUUUAUAUAUAUUUUUUCGCUUUUGAAAAGAUUUCGAUCAGAAAAGGAAAAGCCUGAAGAAAGGAAAAAACUUCAAAACCCUAGUAAUUUCACUACUAAUUUACUGAAUAUUUUUCCUUGAUUUUUAUUUACCCUAGAAAAAGAAAACUUACCUCAUAAAUAUUACCCUCAAAGAAUUUCGAAGCUUCUGCCCAAAUAUCCGAAAAUCCUCACAUUUUUGAAUGAUUUUUGGGACAAAUGGAAGGCAUGGAUCGAUUUACAUCCAUCCACGACUCCCAUUCAUCCAGCAAGUCGUUCCAUCAUACAGAAAUCGUGCUAUUUUGGAGAGAAUAUUCUUUAUUUUCUAACAGAAAACCAUUGGAAUAAAGUGACGUGGAGAGGAGGGGAUCCAUUUGAGUGAACUCGCCUGAGUUUCAGGAGAGUUGAGGUCGGGCUCAGUGAGGAAGAUAAUGAAUAGUACAUUGGGGUGCCAUUUCUUUAUUAUUUAGGUCUAGGGUUUGGGUUUGGGAAAUGAUAUAAGGAUUUUAUAUAUGGAGGGAGACGGGCGGGUCGGUGGAGCGGGUUUUGGUCCGGUUAUUCUUGGG